rnacentral:lncRNA from 1 species
GGGAGAGGGGUGAUGUUAGAGGGAGCAGGGAUAGUACGGUUUUAGGAUGGCACAGUGGAGGCGGCAGAGAGGAGGCCCCAAGCCACAAAGGCAACAAUAUCACUUGCAACGGUGCUCUGGAAUGGAACAUAAAAGUAAGAAUGAAGCCAAAAAAUCACAAAAACAUAUCAAGAAUCUUAAAUAACUGGAGAGAAAUAAUAAACAAUACUUUAAUUGCAUGAGAAGGGAAAGAGCCAAAGCCAAUUGGGAUGUCUUUUGUGUAGAAACAAUACCUUGAUCGGUGAGAAGUAGAGUCGAGACUGAUGUGGGGUUCUUUUUGUGCGUUAGGAUUCUUGAAAGCACUCUCCACCCGUUUGCCCGAUUGUUGUUUUCAUGCAUUAUAUUUUAAAGUGACACAAUUAUAAUUAUAUGAUUUUAUCAUGAAUGCUUUGAUUAGAAAAUAAAAUUUUAUAAAAUUAAAACAGCUUCUCUUAAACUAAAAAGUAUGUCGGAACAGAAACUUUAAAUUUUUUUCAAGUAAAUAUUUUCAGCAUUUUGACAAAAAUCAAAGUAAUCUCCACAUUAUUUUUACCAAACACCAGUAGAAUUAUCCAAACAAAAUACUUUUUGGCUUCCCAAAAACUUAGCCAUCAUAGCCUUAAGUCAUCUGGGUGAAUACUCAGCUCACAUGGCUCGAAUCACCAUUUUUCAUUUAAAAUAGAGUUGUUUAUUGAAUCAAGCCUAGUAUGGUGAUCACAUCUCUCUGCUCAGCAACAAGAAGAGAUUCCUUAUUCAAUUACUGGAUGAUGCAUGCAAAACUCUAAACCAGUUGGUGAAUGUGCCCAUGCGCACAUGCCCAAAAAGGCACUAAUAGUUUGAUCCCUUGUCACCUAGUACAUUAUCUUCACACAAACACACACACACACACAAAAGAAAAAAAAAAGAAAAAAGGUGCAGGUAGACGAUUCUUCUACUACAAGAAGUGGGUCAACUUUGCACCAGAAAAGAACGGGUCAUUUAAGAGGCAUUGUCAUAUCCUCUUCAAUAGGAAGAGAAGAAUAAUAAUACAUUACAAGCGACCAGAAAGAGAGCAAUAACGAUGUAGAUGUUAUUUACGAGCUAUUCCAUAUACAUGGGGACCUAAAAAAGCGGCAGAUGACAGGAAUGCAGUGUUAAGGUCCACACUAGAGAAUCCAGUUUCUGAAAUUAGCCUCCCUGUUUCUCUAGUCAGGUGACACCCAUCUGAAACGAACUGCUGGAGUGGAUCAAGAAUGCUCUGCACGCAUCGGAUAAGAGAGCCAUCUGCAAGAGAAACUCCAUUAACAAGAACAAUACACAAAACUGUAAGAUCUUAGUUGACCUGCUCAUAAGUUCGGUAAGAAGUUCGGAAAAAUACCACGAGCAGCAACAUGCUCGAUGAAUAAGUAAAGACCGCCUGGUUUCAACACCCUUCUAAUCUCUGCAUGCGUUUGUGAUAAUCAGUAUCUAUAGCACUAAAUGCUAAAGAACUAGAAGUUUAACAUUUGAAAGCAACACGACACCCUUUGAUUAUUAGAUAGAAGCAUUAGUCCAUUUGGCUGCACAGAGUUACCAAAUAUGUAUCUCUCUUCUAGAAUGAACAUGCCAGCAUUUGAAUUUGGUAUCAAGACAAGCUAGAAUUGGAAAAUACAUGUUAGUUCAAAUUAAGCACCAAAAAUAACAAUGUUACUUUGGCCGAGUGGCCACAGCAUGGGAUUUUUCUUUCUUUUUUUUUUUUUUUUUACUCACAAUAAAUUAAGCACCAAAUUAACAAAACUGAGAUGCAAAGUUAUAUGCUUAAGUUAAUAUACAUACCAGAUUGGAAUGUUAAUGCAUAAACAUUAUUAUAAAUAUAAUCAUUUACUCUCAUUGUAAUAGAAGCUAGACAUUGUCAGCAAAUAUUAUGAUUUGCAAACUAAAAUUUCCAAGGCAGGUUGUAUCAAGGAAUUUACUAGUAGUAGUGCAAGCUACAAAAAUGCUAGUAUUAUAUAGCUUGUGCGUUUAGCUUCAUAUAUGGUGUAAAUAGGCAAAAGAAAUUCAAAGCCAUCUGAGUAAUUAUACUAUAUAAUGAAUAUUUAUAGAAUCAUGCAGACAUAUUUAGAGAGAUAAUUUCAGAAGUUUACUCCCUGGGUAACUACCAAUUAAGAUACACAUGGUUCAUUAUUGAUGCCUUUUCAAACAUAAUUGGUGGUGUAAAUUUCAUCCUUGGGAUAAGAAAGGUCCUAGACAAAGAAAAUCAUUACACAUUUUAUGAUGCAAAAUCAGAGGUGCACGAUAAAAGAGCUGUUAAACAUGGACCUUACAAAGGAACAAGGAAUUUUUGAAUACCUCUAAGUGCCAUGUCAACGUCCUUGACAGAACACAAAACCAAAGUACCAAUCACUGUAUCCAUGGUCUCGUCUCUUACAGGUAAAGCUUCCCCAACCUACAUGGAAGUAUGGACUUGAAUGCCCAAAGCAACCAGCUUUUGCAAAUAAAAAGAAAUGCAAUGUUUUACCCAAAAAAAAAAAGAGAGAGACAUGCAAUGCAUUAGAGUUGGAUUGACCAUAAACAUUUCUAAGAAAACAACAUGGAAGUCUACUAAAACAUUGAGAAGCUAUAAAUGCUAAACUUUUAGCACAGAAACCAACUUCAUCAAGGGGGUACAAGUAAUUAAAAUAAAUGUUAGUCAAUGGUUGCUUUUCUUCCUUUUGAAAUUAAAUUCUCAUGCAACAUUUUUAGAUAAGCUUUAGCUUUAAAGAUCCAUAAAAAAAGCCAAGACUAACUUAUUCAAUCUACAUCAUGAUUAAACAUGUUAUCAUACAUAUCUUUGGCAAUAUAAACCAUCAAUAAACACCAAUUAUCCUAGAUAGCAUGUGCGUAAGCUUUUUACUUGCAGGUAGCCAGCAAUUUUAAUACUUUUUGCAAGUCAACAUAUAAGAUUUUCAGAAUAAUUGACCGUUUUAUGAUAGAUUGCCCAAUAUACUCCAGAUACUUUAAAGUAAAUGAUAGCCCGUAUCCAGUUCUAGUUUCUACUGAAAAGAAAUCACAAUUAUUAUGUUAAAUUUCCACCUUUCAUGGGAAAAACAUGCACAUACUAACAAGCAGGAGCUCUUCAUGCAUAUAUUCUUCUGUCAAUCCUUAGCCCUAAAAAAUUGUUAUAAUUAAAAAUUCUAUUGGUUAAAAAAAGGAAUUUGCAGAAGAAAGUACAGAACAAAAAAUUUCCUUUGCCAUGCACAGUUUAAGUAACCUAUCUCUGAAUAUCAUAUGCUACAAAAUAUUCAUGUGAAUAAAUGAAAACCUCAAGGCAACAAAUCUCCUUCUAUUACUUCACAAGCCUCAGGCACCCAGCUACUUUUAGGCCAAUCCACGAUUGUACGAGUGUCCUAAAACUGACAAUAAAUCAAUUCUCUCAAUAUCUUCAAAUGCAAUUUUCUGUAUGAUCUAAUUCAUAUAAUAUAUUCCAGAUUACAUGUAUUUCAAUCUAAUUUGCAAGAGAUAUAAAAUUACAGGCAAUAUCACAACAGAUCAUUCUCAGCCAUAAGCACCUAAGAAGUGCAAGAAGAAUAUCUUGAACAUGUGUGGGGACUACGCAAUAUAAAAGAAAUAUUAGAGAUAUAACCAAUAAAAUGACCACUUUAAUGGCAUAAUAUACAAACUCGGGCAACAUGGAAGAGAAUGGGAAAUGAUAACAACUCUUGAAUAGAAAAUGUAAGGAAUUAGGCUAGCUCAGCUGGAUUGUAUGGGAUUCAAGCCAUUAAUGUGAUCCUAAAAUCAGGGAUAUAAAUAAUGAAGUUGAAAAAGUUAUUGGACAGGAAACAUCAUACCCCUCGCAUAAAACUAAAAUUUGUUAAUGGCAGCCCAGCUGCUACAGCUGCCGCCUGAGCAUAUUUCUCCAUCUUUUUAUUAGGGUCCACUCCUAUGACAUUAAUAUCUGUUGCACUUGCAUAGUAUUUGAAAUUAGGACCAGUACCAACGCCAAGCUCCAGUAUUUUCUUACUCUUUCCUGUCAAUUGAGAAAAGAUUUUUGCUUUGUAGGCUGCAACCUUCACCAAAAUGAAAGAUGAAACAAAUAAGAAUUAUGAAUAAAAAUCAACAAUAUGAGUCAUCUCCCUAUAUGUUAUAUAGGAAAGGUUAGAAGCACAGUCUUGUAUGAGUCAGUAUGAUGGGGAAUAAUGAAAGAUAGGAACAUAACUGUUGCAAAUAUGCUCAUUUUAUGUUGUACAACUAGAAAAGAAGUGCUGGAAAUGAGUAAAUUAGAGGACUAAAAGUGCUGCAUUUACACCCACAAAAGAUGAAUUGAGGGGGGAUAAACCAGGACAGUUUGUUUGUGUGGAACUGGAAUCAAAUGAUGUUGAGAUGGUGCCCAAUUGAUAAAAAGGGUUUGGAUUAAUAAAAUGAUUGUCAAAAAGGCAAGGAAAGCAUUGGAAAACCUAAAAGUAAUUGCACAAAAUGAUGUUAAGAGAAGUAUGUGUCAAGAAAAGAUGACUGACAUAUUAUACAGGAGGAUCCAUGAAGCUAAACCAAAUCGGUCGGAUCAAGAAGACUGACUAUGGUCAUAGUACCAAUUGUUAAAUGUAUGCCCUAGAAGUCAAUAUGACAGAUACAUUGUAAUAAUUCUAAGAUAUAUAUUUGUACUUAAACUAUUGAUUCAUUAAUAAAAUAGACUUUCUCUAUCCAUUUUUGCCUAAUGUGUCCAAGAAUAGUCCUACAAAUUAAUAAUUUAAAGAUACAUAUUCUCAAAAAUUGAGACUUAGAGACAUAUGAUUAAUUCAUAAAAUGCUCCCGAUCGAUGGAUCAUCAUGAAGAUGGUGACUGAUCCAGUUAAAUUGGCACACGGAUCGCUUUAUUCGAGAUAGACAAGUCUCUAGUCAAUAGUGUAGAGAUACUGAGCGGGAGUGCCGGUAGUUGUUAGAGAAUAUUGAUACUGAGUGUGACCAAACGAGAGAUCACAUGAAUGUCUACUCACUCGUCAGUGAUCUUUUCGAUGCUGUAGUGGUGUGAGUAGUUCUUUGACCUGCAAUACCUCGACUGCUCACAAUGGAAUUGUUGUAGUUUGACUGCACAUAAACAUGGUCUCCUAGCCAUUUGAAUUCUUGUAGUGUAUAUUGGCUACAGUAGAUUCAAUGUAGUAGUAAGGUGCAUACCUAGAUGGGAUCUAUCGAUAUUAGUAAAUAAGGAGUAGUCCUAUGAGGUUUGAGAGGCUGAGUACUAAAAUCUGUAGCCACAACAAGGUGAUUGAUGGAAAGGAGUUUCCGUCAAUAUCAUGAUUUGGAUUCGAGCUAAUCGAAUCUUUCAUAUGACGGAUGUUGGGGUUUGACAAGUUUUCAUAAUCUUCAUCAUGUCAGGAUUCACGAUAGAGGAACUGAAUCACAUGAUAACUAUAUCUAAGGAUUCUAAUCAUUCUAUACUGCUAGACAUUACUAAUGGACUGUGAGAGCUCUCUAAGAUCAUUUUGGAUCGAUGAUUCUUGAUGGAUGAGAGUUGAAAUAUUCUAAACCAUUGAAAGAUAUUUCGAUGAUACUAUGAUGGAGAUCAUGGUAUGUCUCACUAUCAGACAGAACAAAACCUAUAGGAUCAUACACAAAAGGGACUUGAUCAGAUCAAAUGAUUGGAUCAUAUUCAAAUUAUCAGUAUGAUUGAUGAUUUAGAUCAAUUUAUAAAAGUUACAAAUAUAGGAUCAGCUAACAGUUAGCAAGGAGGACCUAAUUGCAAUUAUUGCAAUCCAAUUUGAUGAGAUCAAGUUGGAAUCAAAUCCUAAAUAAUUAAAUCAAAUUUGAUUUAUUUGGGUUUGACUUAAUUGAGUCUAAUUAGAUAUCUGAAUUUCAGAUUUGAGUCCUAAUUGGAUUAGGACUGAGUAUGAAAUGAAUCAGGCUCGAAUCGAAUUUAAAUUGAACCCAAAUUAAGCUUAAUGGAAUAAGGAUGCAAGAGUCUCAGAUUUACUGGGACUCUUUCUCUCCUACAUUAGAAAGGAGGGGCACGCAUUCCCGUUUGGCAUACGCAAAAAGGGAGAGAGGACGCCAACCACUUCCCUUGGCUUCUCUCUCUCUCCUUACCACAUGGGAUUGGAUUAGUUCAAUUUGAAUUUGAACUUCUUAUUUGAUAAGAAUUUAAAUUGGUUGAACUCUAUCUAAUCCCCUUGGCCACCAUCUACAAAAAGGGUAGGGUUUUUGGGCGUGGAGAUAAACACAUCAUGAAUCAAGUCAUAGAAUUCAUCUGUGUCACUCCUCUUCUUCCAUCGUCCACAUGCCCAAACCUCUCCUUCUGGUCGGCCACAUAGAGAGAGAGAUCAGAAAAAAGAGAGAAAAAGGAAGGAGGAGUUCUCCUAUUGUCUCUCUACAUUCCUCCAGUGCUGCGUGACGGCAGUCCACGCGUAGUUCCUCGGAUCCUCUUCUACGAUGGUCGAAGAAGGAGAUCAGAUCCAAACCAGCGAAGUGAAGAUCUGAAAGAGAGCUAGCACCUCGAUGGUCUCCAGCACUUCCGAUUUACUUUAGCCCCGUGUGGAUAUCCGUAGAGACCGAAUGCGUGUGCGACUUUCAAUAGAACCUACAAACAUUCUCUGAUCCAGAUCUAAAAAAGGAUUAUGUGAUUUAUGUAGGUGAUUUGAUCACCAGUUAAAUUUUAUUUUUGAUUUUUGAAAUCAGAUGUGUGCUUCUCAUGUUAUUUUCAUCAUAUGAACUAAAUCUGUAGGUAUAAGAUUAGAUCUAUGCAUGCGUAGAUUAAAAAUAGUUUUAAUCUAUCUUCUAUUGCAUGUUUCAAAAUUAUUUUAAAAAUUAUGCAUGCAUGACACCUAAUGAAACCCAACAUCAAUAUGCAAGACAAGUAUAGAACAAAAUACUUAAGGUAGGUAAAAGACAAUGAUGCCAUAGUUGAGCUUCAUUUAUGAUGCAAAUACACAACUCAGAAGGGUCUGCUAAAGUUUUAGACAAUAUAUACUUCUAGUUGUAUAUAUAUUACGUUCAAUGCAUGCUCACUUAUAUCAUUUAUUAUCUCAUAGUUGUGAAAAUUUGUGUUACAACCUAUUGUAUGUGUUUACUGGCUAACCCAAACCAUACUGAUUUACCGCAUUAUAAUGUGUGCUAACAAGCACAUUCCCCUUCUCGGCCAAGUUGAAGCCUUUUCAUGUUUCCUUGCAAUGUAUGAGAUGUCAUAUGACAAUUGUAACUGGAUAUCCAAAACACCCAUUUAAAUUUGACAAAAACUGUUUGACUUGCAUUCUCCUAGACACAUCAAAAUAAAAAGUGAUGGUUAUAUGCCUAAAACUUGAUUAAAAGUCCUGCGAUAGCUAUGAGCAUGAAUAUUGUUUAGCUUGCUAAAGUUGGGGGGUGUUUGGUUGAAGAAAUAAAGAUAUGGAAUGGGAAUGGGAAUGAAUGACUCCGAUUCUACUUGUUUGGUUGGGGGGAGUCCCACUCCGAUUCCCAUUCCAGAGAGGAAUGGAAAUGGCCCAAUUCUCCUGUAACUGAAUCAAGAUCAUCCCGAUGGGAGUCAAAGUUUCAUUCCGAUGGAAUGAGAUAAAAAAUUUUUUAAAAAAACACCCAUCGGCGGGGCGGGGAGCUGGUGUUUGCAGGUGGGCGGAGGAGCACGGAGGUGCGGUGGGGGCGAGUGGGGGUUUGGUGGUGCAAAGAAACCAUGGGCCGCAAGGGGGAGCCGCGAGCCGUGGUGGGGCCGGGUGGGUGGAGGAGGGCGCGGUGGUGCGAAGAAACCACUAGCCUCAGGGGGCGGGUGAGGGUGUGGAGGAGCUUUGCGAUCGGUGCGAGGAGCAAUCGAUGGUGGUGUUGGGGAUCUCCGAGCUUUUGAAUUUGAAGAUUGCAGGAGUCGAGGAGAACGAGUCGGUCCACACCGACGAUCGGAGUCGAUCAGAUUACCCCGAUUUUCAGGUUGGAGAGGACCAGGGUGCCAUUAAAGGAGAAGGAGGUGGACCCGAUCCAGAGUGUUGGGCGAGCCUGGUUGGCGCGCCAAAUGGGCAAGGAGGAGGGGAGGUGGAGGACCACGAGCGCAAGCUGGGUGGAGUUGAAGCGGAGGAAGCCCAGGGAGAAAACGCCGUUCAGGUCGAUGAGGAGAGGUUGGAACUCGGAAUAGGAUGGGUCGUGAGUGGCCGAGAAGCCUCUCUCGAUCUGUUUGGCUGGCAAAGACGUCGCGUUUCCAACUUAAGCUGAUCUUGCAGUGAUGGAGCCGUGGAUGGCGGGUGGCCGGGGGUGGGACGAGGCAGCGGAGUCGGGGAUGACGGGUCGCCGAGGUUGGGGGACGCAUGCAGCGGAGGAGCCCAUGUGGCGUCAGGAGUGGGNNNNNNNNNNNNNNNNNNNNGGAGCCCAUGUGGCGUCAGGAGUGGGGUGGGGUGGGCGCGGAUAAGGCACAGGCAGAAGGAGCUCCAUACCUUCUUCUAUUUUUCUUUUUUCUUUUUUUCUAUUUUUUCUUUUCAUUUUUUUAUUUUUCAUAAAAUUAUUUAUAUUUUAUAUUUUAUUUUAUAAAAUAUUUCAUCUCUUAUUUAAUUUUUUUUAUUUUAUAUAAAAAUCUAUUUUGAUUUAUAUUUUCAAAAUAAAGAUUCAUUCCGAUUCUUAUAUUUAGAUGAAUCAAACAACGACAAUUGGAAUCAUCCAUUCCGAUUUCGAUUCCGAUUCCGAUCACGAACUAAACGCUUUGGAGAAUUUGGCUAUUCCGAUUCCGAUUCCAAGCCAUUCCAAUUUUCAUUCUCAUUCUAAUUUUGGUUACGAACCAAAUGCCCCCUUGAAGUAACAUGGCAAACCUAAUCCAGCACAAAUAUGUAGAAACUGCCUAGUUCAGUUGAGGUUGGGCACGCAAUCCUCCAAUGUGAUCAUGUUUUCAUAAAAUAUUAUUACAUUGGAAGAAGGAAACCCAAUCAUUUUCCGAGGAUUUGCAUGUUAAGUAAAGUAGAAAACCAUUUAUUGACUUCUACCCAACCAUCUUUUUUUCAGAUUUUUUUAUCAAAAAUAAUCUUUUCAGACUUAAUACCAUCGCCAAGUGCUCUUUUAUUCCACUUAAAGGAUAGAUUUUUAAAGGUUAAGUAUUUUAACAUCAAAGUUUCUAUUUUUAAAAGGAUUAAUCUUCAAAUAGCUGUCAUAUAUUCGACAAAGAAGGCACUCUACUACUGACCUCAGCUUCGUAGGGCAUGAUCAUGCCCUGCUCCAGAACCUUCGCGUAGAGCUCCUCGUACCAAUCCGGCCUCGAAGGAUGGAAUCUCUCCACCAUAUCCUAGCAACAACAAGUACAUGCAAAUUUACAGUGAACUUCGCACCAAAUCGAACAAUUCCACCCAUGCUCGUAAGAUCGCGAGUUCUUGCCUCCGGGUCGGGAGGGCCAUCACCCAACGCCUGAGGGGGAGGAACUCGGAACAACGCCACCGCCGCGGUUCCCCCCAAGAGGCCCAGCCGCCGUCCGCAGGUGCAGCACUGGAGAGCGCGGGAUAAGCGCAGGUCCGAGACCAAGCCCACCGGUUCCGGCGACGCCUUUCCGGUGGGCGAUGACCGGGCUAGGGUUAGGGUUAGAGUACGGGCUUUCGACGGAGGCAGAGAGGAGGUCCUCGGGAGCGGCAAGAGGGGGGAAGCGGUGGAGGAGAGAACGGAGACGGAGGAGUACAUGGUCCCGCGCUGCCGCCUGCCGCCUGCCGGAUCUGGCGAGGAAUUCUGUGGAUUGAUCGAUCCGGGCCGUCCCUUAUAUGGGGCCCUGAAGGAGGGGACGAGGGUGGUCAUUGCGUCAUUUAUGUGGCAUUUACGACACAGGUUCGUGACAGAUGCGUGAACACCCGUUUACGUUGGAGAGGCAAAUCCUGCUUUGUCUAAAAAAAUCCAAUGUAAGAUAUUUGUACUAAAUUUGAGUUAAGAUAUUUUAAGGGAAAAAAAAAUUUCUCAUGAGAAUUAUUUGAUCGAAAAAGAGUUAUUAUGAUCGAAUCAGAGUUGAUCAAAAUAAAAUCAUUAUAGCUGAAUUUGAGUUAUCGUGACUAAAAUAAUAUCUUGAUGACUGACUGAUCAUUUUUUUAUCAUGACCGAUCGAUCAUCUGCAUGACCGACCGAUCAUCUUUAUGGCAUAAUCGACUGAUCAUCUUCAUGGCAUAGCCAACUGACCAUCUUCAUGGCCGACUAACGAUCUUCGUGACCAAACCAGCAUUAUAACGGCCGACUGGCAAAUAUAUAAUCACGAUACUACAAUCGUGGAUAAUAACUAUAUGCCACGAUCGUUAAUCGGCAUAAAUUACCCACUAACUUCAUAAUUAUGACCUGAUAAUCAAGAUAACUAUCCCUUAGUGCCAUAAAAAUGAAACCACUUGCUCGACGGUUACACCCGAGUCACCUAUAAAGAGGAGGUAAGAGAACAGGCAAGCGGUAAGACACUUCUGGGCUGAUAUUUUAUCAAUUUUGAUAUUCUACUUCCUAUUCGAUCACUCCCCUUGAUUUAAGUAUCGGAGGAUCUUUGUCGAACACAACUCCAGUCAGUGUGGACUUAUUUUACAGAUGCUCUUCUCCGACAACAGAUAUAACAGAAGAUUGGUCGCAACAGAUUGACGCACCAGGAAGGAAGGCAAAGAUCGAGUUAUCAUGGCAAAAACGAGAGCCUAUAAUGUUUCCACCGGCUUUAUCCGACAAUCUUCCUAUCGAAAAGAUCCCCUACUUCCAUCAGUAGAGCCCAGUUCUUCGGGUCUAGUCAUCAUUGUGGAUGCUUAACAAUUUGCUGCCUUCGUCUAGUAAAUAAAGAUGAUGAUAGAGGGUAGUUCACAGCCUCUAGCAACAAUCAAGAGAGCUCUCACCAGCGUCGAUUGUUCCCUCAAAUCGACAUCGCCAACCAGUGACUGUCCUGGCUCGACACAGCUAACAAUCGAUGAUGGCACAAUCUUGACAGCAAUCUCAUCGAUGGGAUGGACCACAUCACUCUCAACGCGCUGAUUGCUGUCUAUUCCCCCUCCCCCCACAAAGCCGAUAAAGGGAAACGAUGAUGUUCAUUUCCUCCAUCCAUCGAAAGUUCUACUCUUGGGUGCUCUUUCGGAGAAGAUUCUCGACGCAUGGACAACUAUGAGCGAAAGUCCUAGAAAGCAACUAAGUGACGAGUCUUCGGGAGGCAGACGAUUUGAAAAGCUUUUCCAAAUGAUGAAUCGAUUAUGAUCAAUGAUUUUGAAAGCUUCUCCAAAUGAUGAAUCGAUCGUAAUCAAUGAUUAGAAAAGUUUCUCUAAAUGACGAAUUGAUCGUGAUUGACGAUAUGAAAAGCUCCCUCCAAAUGAUGAAUUGAUCCUAAUCAAUGAUUCGGAAAGUUCCUCCAAAUAGUGACUAUGCUCCUCUACAAUGGAACGACUUACAAUCAUGUUCCGAAUCAAUGCAACAAUCUACAACAAUAUUCCUCUAUGAUAAAAUGAUUGCUCUUUAGACAUGGAAUGCCAACAAUCUACGACUGUAUCUUCAGUAAAGUUAUCCUUACGACAUAAUAUAUUCGAACGAUAUGUUCGAUUUUUAAUAUACUUUCAAUUGAAAUAUGAUACAAUAAGCUCCGAUUUAAGAUGAUUCAGUGACAAAAUAUGAGUUCUAGCUCCAAGAUGAUUCGAUAAUAAAUACAAGCUCCGGCUCAAGUCUCGAAAGGCCAAAGUAGAAAAAUAUCGAUCUCCGGAUCGAAAUGAGUCCUAAGAAGAUCAAUAUGCCGACUCGACUCCAAUCGGAUGGAACAAUAUACCGACUCGACUUCAGUCCAAUGGAACAAAAUGCCAACUCAACUUUGGUCGGAUGGAACAACAUGCCGACUCGACUUCGAUCAAGCGGAAUAACAUGCCGACUCAACUACAAUCGGAUGGAACAACAUAUCGACUCGACUGCGGUUGGAUAGAACAAUAUGUCGACUCGGCUACAAUCGAACGAAACAAUAUACCAGCUCGACUACGGGCAGAUAGAAUAAUAUGCUGACUCGACUACGAUUGAUCGAAAGAAUAUGCCAAUUUAACUUCGGUCAGUCAAAAAAUAUUCAACAGUUAUCUAUGAUGAAUGAUGAUCACAUUCAAAGAGACAAUACAAAUAAUUUUUUUUUUUACUACAAUCUAAAGGCUACAAAAUCAGACUAAGAUUCUGUAACAAAAGAAAAAUUACUUUCAUUAUCAACUAAAAUGACUACAGAAUCGAGACUCGAAGUCAUGACAGAAGAUACGCUGACUUCCAUCGUCCAGCACAUCAAGCCAUCUUGAAUUUGGAAGUGGGGGGCAACUAUUAGGACAAUAGAAUUUGCUUCCUUCGAUUCUACGUUGGCUCCUAUAUUCGAGAUCGGCCCUUUAUUUCAUACUUAUAUAAGAAGAAUCAAGAGAUCCCAAGAGAAGAGGCUCUGGAAGGGAAGAAACUUUCAGAAUUUAGUUCUCAUGAGAGUCAUCUGACUAAAGUAGAGUCAUUAUGGCCGAACCAGAUUCAUCUGGCCAAAGCAGAGUCAUCAUGGAUGAACUUGAGUCAUCAUGACUGAACUAACAUCUUCAUGGCCGACUGACCAUCUUCAUGGCAUAGCCGACUGACCAUCUUCAUAGCCGACUAACCAUCUUUGUGUCAUGGCCGACUGACCAUCUUCAUGGUCGACUGACCAUCUUUCUAUCAUAGCCGACUGACCAUUUUCAUGACUGACUGACCAUCUUCAUGGCAUAGCCAACUGACCAUCUUCAUGGCAUAGCCGACUGACCAUCUUCAUGACCAAACCAGCAUUAUAACAAUCGAUUGUUAAACAAUCGACUGCUGACUGUCAAACGGCCGACUGCUAAAUAUAUAAUCACGAUACUACAAUCGUAGGUAAUAACAACAUGUUACGAUCGUUAGUGGACAUAAAUUGCCCACUAACUCGAUGAUUAUGGCCUGAUAAUCGAGGUAACUAUCCCUUAGUACUAUAAAAAAUGGGAUCACAUGCUCGACGGUUACACUGGAGUCACCGAUAAAAGAGAGGAAAGGAUACAAGCAAGGGGUAAGAUACUUCUGAGUUGAUACUAUGCCAACCUUGAUAUUCUACUUCCUGUUCGAACACCUCUUACUGACUUAAGCAUCGGAGAAUUUUCGUCGGAUAUAACUUCGAUCAGUGUGGACUUAUUUUGUAGAUGCUUUUCUUUGACAACGGGUGUAACGGAGGAUUGGCCGCAAUAUUCAUCAUUUUUUUUACGUUAAAUUUUUGUUAUAUUGUUAGUUUUGACAUGAGAAAGUGUGGGGGCUAGGAUUUUUUUCAUCUUUUGAGUGCUUGGCGUCAUUUCUCAAUGAGUUCUAUAGCUCUUUCCUGAGUUUCGGAUGAUAAAACUAGGUCAUGUUUUGAAAAUUUGAUUGCAUUUUAUUCCCAAAAGGGAAAAAAAAGUUGAGUUUUUUAAUUACUCCAAAGAAAGGGAGCUCCAUUGAAAUUUGUGAUAUCUACUAUAUAACCUAGUAUGCUUCUAUUCUCAUUUUCUUUUUAAGUCAUACAAAAUAAUUGUCAUGCCCCGAGCCCAUCAUAUAGAUUGGCCAUAUAAAUCCUAGAGUAGUGCCUUUCUAAUAACACUAGAAUAUUAAAUUAUCAUGCCCCAAGCCCGUUAUAUAGGUUGGCCAUAUGAACCCUAGAGUAGUGCCUUUCCAAUAGCACUAGAAUAUUAAAUUAUGCAUAAAAUUUAACCCUAAUAGUCUAACUAAAUAAAUCCAUUAUAAGCACUCUAUUAUAAAAUUCAUAUAUUCCUCUAAUAUUAGAAAGAAAGUCAACUCUCUAACUAAUAAUUUCAUUGCUUGAACUCCAUAUCUAACCUUUCUGAAACAAAGCAUCCUAUAAUUUUGAAAGGAAUAGUGAAGAGGUGGCGCAAGGUUUACAGCCUAGUUAGGAUCCUUCACAAUCACACCCAUGUAGAUAAAAUAAAAUUAAAAUAAAGGUUAACUACCAACCAUAUCAAAAUAUAGGCAAAAAUUAUAAAACCUCAUACCCUCAAAUAAGUCCACAUGGAUAUACACGUAUAAAUAUACAUCAUCAAAUAUAUAUCUCAUUCAAGAAAACAUAUUGGAUGUAUCAUCAAUCUAAAACUUUUAUUCAAUAAUAGUUUUAUAUAUUUUAUCUUCCAUUACUAUCCAGAUUUUCGAUCAUAAUUACCUUUUCGAUUUAGAUUAUCCAUGGCUAUGUUUCAAUUUGUGACUGGCAAACCAUAAUCCCAUGCUUCGGUCUAUGAUGGCAAAUCAUAAGAUCUAUAUUUUAACCUAUGAUAACAAAUCAAAAUAUCAUAAUUUAGCCUAUGAAUAACAAUCUAUAAUACCCACACUUCAGUCCAUGAUGACAAACCAAAGUAGAAUGAUAGGGUCUAUAACUAGCAAUCCUUGGCUAGUUCAAAUCUAUUUACUCAACAAUCAAAUUAUUCAAUUUCAUCUAUGCCAAAAAAAAAUAUAUUUCCAUGUUAUAUUUCUUGCCAAAUUAAAAAUAAUCAUUAUUAUAUAUGAAACAACAAACAUCAUCAAUAUCUGAUACAUGAAAGGCUGCAAACAGAUCGGGUUGAUCCGUGAUCCGACCCGACCCGAUUCGGUUAGACUCGAUCCGAAUCCAUUUAAAAGACCCAUGGAGCCGGGUCGGAUUCAAAAAUUAGACCCGUUCAUCUUUUCGGGUCGGAUCUGAAUUUUCUGAAUUUGGAUCCGACCUGAUCCGAUCCGACCCGUAGAGACUUUUGGGUUAAUUUGGAUCUUAAGAUAUGUGACUCGAUCCGAAUCGGAUCCAAAUAUAAGAUCCGAACUCAGUUAGAAUGACUCAUCCAAAUAAGAAUUUGGGCUUGGGCCAAAAGAGUGACUCACCCAAAUUCUUUCUUAAAUCUCUUACUAAAAUCUUUAAUACCGUCACACUAUCACAAGAUCAUUAAUGCACUGCACAAGAAAUGCCAUUCUUACAGCUAAUCUCGAAAUUUUUCUAAAAGUCCUUCCACAAACAUAAAGUAAACUGGGGACAUAUCAACAGUUGUUCAUAAUUUAAAUAUCCAGUUACUUGUUUACUGUUGUACAUUACUAUUGCCUUAGGGAUGGUAUACAAUAUCCACUAUCAAUGGUGAAGUGAGAAGACGUGGGAAGAGAGGAGAGGAGAGAAUAACUAUAUGAAAAGAUAGAUAUGGCCAUACUAUUUUGCUGUUGAUGUAACCUCUAAUUCCAUUUUAUGUAGAUUUUUAAACUCAUGAUCCGAUCCGACCCAAAUUAGACCCGAACCGGACCCGUAUUUUAUGGAUUGGGACUGGGUUAUAUAUGGACUCGACCCAAUCCGAAUGAUCUAAUGGAUCAAUAAAUUCGGCCAUGGACCUGAUCCGAUCCGAUCCGAUUUUUUAUUGAGAUGGGUAUGAGUCCAAUAUCAAGAUCCGAUCAAAAAAUCGGAUCGGAUUGAGAUCACUCAAGAUCCGAUCCGACCCGAUCCAUUUGCAAGCCUAAAUACAUGUAUACAAUAAAGAAACAUAUAUUUAUAUACUCAAACCAGCAAUCAAUCGACAAUGAUAAUAUAAUUGAUACAAAUCUAAGAUCAUUAAUAUAAAUUACAAAAAUAUAUAUAUCUAAUCAAUGAUUGUGUGCAAGAAUACUUUAACUUCAUCAACAAUCAAAUCAAAUAAAACAAGUAUCAACCCACACCUUGAUCUACAAAUUAGAUUGCAGAGUACCCUGCUUAACACCUAUUUGCUCACAUGAUUGCUCUCUAUUGCUCUCUUACAGAGCCAAAUCCAAUCAUCAAAAUAAUUAUAAAUGAUUAGGGUUAAUGGUGGAAAAUUAUAGAAGGAUGGGGUAGAUGGUUGCACAAUUUUAGCCUAAAAAUCUCUGAUCAUGUAAUGCCGGUCUAGGACCCUUCCUAAGGUCAACAUUCUAUUUGGAUUUAUUUGGAUGUUUGGACCUUCCAUUGGUCCAUAAGACAUAGAGAGAGAGAGAAAAAAAACAGAGGGAGAAUACAAAGAAAGAAAAGAGGGAAAGGGAAGAGAAAGAUCAUGGAACUUUUUUUUUUCUUUCUUUUCAAAAUAGAGGAGGAAAAGGAGGGGUAACCUACGCUAGGAUGGUGGUCUCCAGAGGGUGAUGACCCACAGUAGAUGGUGCUAGACCAUGGUAACAACCCAUGGCAACAACCAAACCGUAGCCACAUCUAGUGAUGGCGGUUGGCCUAAUGAAAUAUAAAAAUAGGAACACCCUGUUCACUGCUAAAUCGAUAACUCAUUGCUUCAAACUAGCUGGUAACCGCAUCAUUGAAAUUGAAAAAAAUGAUGGAAACAAGGGUUUGGUGGCCUUAAUCAUCUUUGACGAGGUAUUUGGUCCACCUUCUCAGUUAGAAUGGUGGCUGAGAUGAGAUGAGGAGCUUGGAAAAGGCAAGAAUUUUAGUGACAGUUGCUUGGGGCUUGUCAACAAAGUGCUUAGAAGAAGAGAGGAGGAGUUUUUAUAGAUCAAAAUCCUAAGAUUCACCAACGUCUGGCAUGCCCUAGGAUUUUUUUUUUUGUGAUAGGAUUGGGGGAGGAGGCAGGCUCCCAGUUCUCCCACCUCACUAGCUAGUCAUGUGAGGUUAUAAGUUUUUUCAUCACAUACGCUAAUAAUCAUGCUAUUUUCCAUACAUACGGGUUGAUCAAUGGAUCAUGCCCUUACAAUAGCAACACAAGCCUCUUUUCUUUUUCUACGUAAAACAAUGCUUUAAUACUGCAUCUCUUCUCCAAUAAUCAAAGAAAUGAUUAAAUUCUCUUGUAACACUAAAUCGUUAAGAUGAGAUAGUUGCUUUAGAUAAUGACAACAUACUUGCAUGUGUGGUGAGAAUUUUAAAAUAGAUUUCUAUUAUGGAUGGUUGUAAUGCUUUGAUGGAAUUUUUGCACUUAAAUAGCUUGAUGAGACACUCUCUCAAAUUUGAUUACUACUUUUUUUUGUGGUGUCUACUAACACGUCGAUAGAAAUAAUGAAGGUAUGUUUACUCGUAAAGAUGAGUAUUCAUAAAGUUUAAUAGAAAUGGCGUGGAUAGUUUGGACUAUGUAAGAUAAUACAGCCAUGUAGUGGCAUAUGCCCUAGAGCAUUUAGAGCUUUGCAUGCAUUUGUAUCAUGCAUUUUGGUUUCCUAAUGUGAUAGAAUAAAUAUGAAACAAGAUUAUAUAUUUCUCAAAUAAAGUAGUAUGAUGUAAUGAUAUGUAGUGCACCAGACGGUAAAUGCUUGUAGAAACAGAUUACAGAUAGGUCAGACGCACGAGAUAUCUCUACGCGAUCAGGGUUUCAGAGACGCCUUUAAACCGUUAUAACAGAACGAUGCCAAAAAAACCGUUAUAACAGACGCCGUUAAGUUAGACCAUCGGCCCAUCCCCGACCGGACCUGCCGAGCCGGAACGAUCCAGCCGGUAGCUCGUCUCCUCGCCCAUCCUUUGUGGCCUCUCUCUCCCACCAUAAACCCCACAGCGUCGUCUCUUCCACACAGGAUAAGGAUAUAAGUCCCGCCUUCCGCCCCUCCCCUCCCCCCACCCCUCUCGCUCGACGGAUAGAGGAAGAGAGCGACGAAUCUCUCCUUCUCUUUCUCCUGACUUCCAGUCCUCUCUCGCUCGAAGCAUCGGAGGAGAGCGAGGUGGGCAGCGGCCAUCUCUCCAUCCUUUUCUGGGCUAAAAGGUGCUCUUUUUCCACCUAUUCGAACUCUGGAUUCGUGCCACUAAUCAUGUUAUGGAGUUGUCUGCAUGCCUUUUUGAUGCGACUGGGAUGUGGCACUUUCAUUUCUGCCCGCUGGGUUUUUGUUAGAUUUUUCCCAAGUUGGAGUUUUGAUUUGUCUGUUUACGAAUUGCUGUAGAAAAACACCUUCUUUGCCUUGGUUUUUUGGAUUUUAAUCCAUUAGUGGCAAGGGGUUUCAUCGUAUGGUGAUAAUUCUGGGAACAAGAUGGUAAAUGACUGGUUGCAGAGAGUGUUUGUUUUAUGGAAAUAAAAGCAUUUCCGUUCUUCUUGGAGGUCUCAGAUGUAACUGUGAGAAGGAAUUAUGCAUUAAAAGAAUCUGGUGAAGUUUGUACUUGUAGCAGUGUAAAUAUGAUGUUUAGAUGCGAGAAGAAGUCUCUAAUGUGCUGGAGAUAUACGAGGAGCAUAGACUUAUUAUUAUUACUAUUAUUUUGUAAAAAUGUUUGAUGUGGUGAAAGGUUUAUAUGAAUUUAAAAAAGUGCUUAGUGGAGAAUAUUAACUCCAAGAAGGAGUUAUCUUUUGGUUUUUUGGGGAGUGAUUGGACGGUUUGUUCAAAACUUAAAUCUGUCAAGUGGGUUUUCCCCUUAUUCUUUGCAUUGUUAAAAUAGAAGGGGAUUACUGAUAGCAAGCAUCUGGUUUUCAUGAUUGGUUAAAAUAGAUGACAUUUUCUAUUUGAAACAACCACUGUGUACAGCUUCUUUAUGCUAGUUAUUGUGAUACAAUUUUGAAGCAUGGUGAUCAUUUUGGAAAGGCUUCUGGGAAGUAAGUGUGAAGGGUCACAAAAUAUACAUUCUCAUAUGUAGCUGCAGACGUUUUACACUUGGCAGAAAAUUAGUUAGUGUCCUCUAUCAUCAAAAGAUGUUUGAAAUUUGAGCUUGGACAUGAUGUUGAUAUGAACAUGUUUGUUCAUCUCCAAUGUCUUUUUUAUCCUGGUUAUGUUGAUACUGUUCAUAUAUCUUCUUUUUUACAGCUAACCUGCUACUUGAUCUUAUGAUCUGGUCGUGGACUUCUAUAAACUUAUUGCUCUGCACAGGCAGGUUAUGGAGGAUUAGAUUUCUUUAUUGAGACAUAAGAACCCAAUACUUACAAUCUUGCUAGACUUCACCAUGUCAUGACCAAAUUUUUUAUCAUAUCAUGACCAAGGGUUGAUGCAUCGGGUAUCACUGAUGUGUCAACCUGCUAAUGGCUCGGUAGGCACACAUGCCUGAUCAGCCGUGCCAAUUCUUGGCGUGCGCUGACUUGGUAGCAUACCAAGUACAGGAAUGCAGCUUGUAUUUUGUCAGAUUCUUGUGCCGAUAAGGCAUUGACAUGAUGUGUAUCAUGCAUUCCAUGUCAUGCCAUGCUUUCUGAUACUUCGAUUAAAGGUCGUGACCCCAGAUCUUAGUGAUGAUGCAAGAUCAUCAUAGAAUUAAACAUUUAAUGGUAUAUACUCUGUCCAGUAGGAAGCAAAGUUUUUCAUACCUGCAAAUUUCAAUUUUUUUUAACACCCACAAGAUUUUUGUUAUUUGUAAUCACGUGAUACUUUUUAUCCUAUUGCCAUAAUAAGAUAUUCUUAGGUAGGAGACGUUAGUUUCACUAGUUUCUUCAAUUUCUCCACACCUUUUAUUGUUAAUGAACUGGCUCCUUCACUGUUUAUUAUACAAGGAUUCCUUUGGAGUUUACUGUCCUUAAUCUUUAGUAACGAGUUAUAGAGUUUGCAGGUGAUUAUCCUGAGCUUGAGGUGUUCUGUCACAGUUAUGUUCCAUAAGGUUGUGAGCAUUUUUGUAUUGCAUGGGUUUAGAAGACUAUCUAUGGGAUAACAGAGCUCAUGAAAUCACAGACCUGUUAUUACAUGAACGUCUGUGGUAGAGCAGCACAUUGUACUGUAUCAGACACCUAUCUGAAUAUGGUUAGGUUAAGAACACAUAGCUUAGGGAGAAUUCCUCUAGCAAUAAUGCAUGAGCAUUCAGAAAUUUGAACUAUGUAGGUUUGUUAUUUUUGUGCAAAAACAUUACCAUGAUGCUCUCCUUUUAAAAUUGAUUCAACCUUGAAGGUAGCACUUUUUUAAUCAAUGCCUCAUGCUUUCAAAAUGGGUGUUAAUCUUAGCUCUAAACAAACUUCAACUAUUCUUUUAUAGAAUGUAGAUCUGGGCAUGGUAAGUGAUAAUCCACUUCACUAAUUGAAAACAUGUGUAAUAAUACUUAAGCUGAAGCAUGGGUACCUUCACUUUGACUUUAGGGUAGUAUAAAUGCCCAGUACUGGUUCAUAAAGUUCCAUAUUUGUUUCGGUACAUUUGUAAAGAGGUUCUAGUACCACAAAAGUUUGUUUUCUUGUAGAAAAUACUUCUAAGUAUUUAAUGACUGAUAUAAUUAAAAAAUCAGUUCGUUGGAUUAACUGCCAUAUUAAAUAAAUAUUAGGUCUUGGUAGGGUAGGAUAUCAUUGCAUAACUCAUUAAUUUGUAACUGUUACACUUCAGCCUUUAAUAUAUAUUGUUCAUGGGACCAGAGUUAAAGCCAUCUAAAGAUAAUAUGCAUAACUGGUCAUCUGGUCCCAAUGUAUAAUUCGAUCCCAAUGGUGCAAGUUUUUUCAACUAUCUCUUGUUGUUUGUCUUUAUAAUUGUUAUAUAUACCAAUAAAUGAUGACCAUAUGCAGUAUAUUCUCUGAUUCAAUUGUUGUUCACAAAAAGCUCUAAAGGAUGAGUCAUCCCAAUUAUGCCUACGAUCUACAUUCGACAUAAAUUAUUUCAAUUGAUACCAAUUGAACAAUAACUAGUCUUGGGUUUAAGGGCUUCACUGCAGUAUAUGUAUCUGUGAAUGAAAGAUAAAUGGAACUCUUUUAUUAUUCAGAUGUAGGACCUUGAUCAAGAUCUUAUUACAUGAUGAAUCAACAGAGUAUCACACAGUUAUAGAGGUCUCCAGACGGUUGAUUAAUGACAUGUGGUCUGAUCUGAUGAUUACUCAUCAAUAUAUUUAUUUAGAAAUACCAUUAGGACUGAUUCGGUUAUUUUAUAUUUACAGCCCGUUCACUUUGGGAGUAAUCUGCUAACAAAUGAACCUGUUGUAGGGCAAGAAAGGAAUUGGAACCUCUAGUUGCUGGCUGAUAUUUUAAUUCAGAGGGCUACAUUCAACAUGGUACCUGUAAUUAAUUGCUCUGUGGGCAAUAUCACUCUGCUUCCUGGAUCGACUUGUGGCCUUAGGAAGGAGAUCCAAUCAACAAGAUGCCAUGUUUCUGGAAAAUAUUUAAGGCCAACACCGUUGUCUCAGGGGUUUUUAUUUACAAAAAUGUCAUUAAGGCUGUUUCAGAGAAACUAUAGAGGCUAUGUUUCAAAGCAUGGUUCAAGAGUCCGAAUCUUUGCUGCUGUUGGCGCUGAUAUAACAAUAGAGGAGCCAGAUCCUGCUGUUUCAGAUGAAGUUGCUGAUGAAACUUCAGAAACUGCAGCUAGUUCAGCUGAAACAAAUGAGCCAGCCCCUGCAAACCCUGCUGUUACUUCCACUGCUAAAAGCAAACGCCCUAGACCUGUAAGGAAAAGUGAGAUGCCACCUGUGAAGGAUGAGGAACUAGUGCCAGGAGCUUCCUUCAAAGGGAAAGUAAGAUCAAUUCAACCAUUUGGUGCUUUUGUUGACUUUGGGGCCUUUACAAAUGGACUGGUGCAUGUCUCCAGGUUGAGUGAUGAAUAUGUCAAGGAUGUGGCAUCUUUUGUUUCUGUUGGGCAAGAAGUGACAGUGAGGAUUGUGGAAGUAAAUAAGGAAAGUGGGAGGAUCUCUCUAACAAUGCGUGAUACUGAUGAACCCAGGAAGAUACAGCAGAGAAGAGACACUCCUGCUGAUGGAAGUAAUAACAAGCCAAGAGCUGCCAGAAAAAAUGCUGCAAGGUCGAAUCAGAAGGAUGGUGCGGUGCAAAAGAUUUCUAAGUUUGUUAAGGGCCAAAAUUUAGUUGGCACUGUGAAAAAUAUAACCAGAUCGGGAGCUUUUGUUUCGCUUCCAGCAGGGGAGGAAGGAUUUCUCCCCAUCUCUGAGGAAUCUGAAGGGUUUGGUGGCAUUUUGGGGAACUCCUCUCUGCAGGUUGGUCAAGAAGUUAAGGUACGGGUGUUGCGCGUUACAAGAGGGCAGGUGACUUUAACAAUGAAAAAAGAAGAAGAUGUUGAAAGGCUGAACAUACAACUAAAUCAGGGGGUGGUGCAUGUGGCAACGAACCCAUUUGAGCUGGCUUUUCGUAAGAAUAAGGAGAUUGCGGCAUUUUUGGAUGAACGGGAGAGAGACCGGAAUUCUUCUGAAAAUUUAAGCAUGUCAAAGACUUUAGAACAAGCAGGAGGAGAUGAUGAUGAAGCUGUAGCCAAUUCUAACACUCUUGAAGUUGAUGGCUCAACGGCAAGCAGUGAUGAGAACCAGGUUGUUGGGCCCUCUGAUUUAGGGGAUGAGCUGGAGGAUGAAAAAGGCACUGUCGAAGAGCUGCGAGAACAAGCUUCUGUUGAAGAUCCCAUUCCUACUGAUUUGGGGAGCAAGGAUGUGGAAUCUGCAAGCACUCAGGCUAAGAAUGCUGAGAUCGUUCCUGAAACUGUGCAAGAAGAUGUGGAGAGCUCUAAAACCUCAACUGAGCCCACUUCAGAUUCUGUUUUAGAUGAGGCCUCUGUAACAGAUGAUGUGCAGGAUUCAAGUGCUGCAAAGGUCACUGCAGAGGAACAAAACCUAAGUUCAAAAGCUUCAAAUUUGGGGGGAGGUGAAUCGUCUGCAGAUGGCUCCGCUGAAAAUUUGCUAACUAGUGUAUCUUCCAUAACUUCUGAAGGCAAGGAAGAAAGUGCUAAUAUCAAAACUGUAAAGAAAAGUGAAGGAGUUCUGGUUUCGGAAAGUACAGUAGCCUCUGUAACCAAUGAAGCUAGGGAAGCUGAUGUCACAACUGGAACUGUCCUGGAAGAUGAGACCGAUGGUAAAACUUUGAGUGCAGAAGAAAAUGAACCCUCUGUAGAUUCUGCAGGAAGUGAGAAAUCUUCUGCGAUAAAGGAUUCCAGCAUCAAUGUGGAUUCAUCUGGAGAAAUUGGUAAUCAGAAGCUAUCUUCAGGUGUGCUUCCUGAUGAAGUUGUUACUAAUCAAUCAGAUGAUACUUUAACUGAUGAGAAAGUGGAGAAAGUAACACCUAUGCCAGUUGUAAAUGAAGAAGCCUUUGCUGAAUUAAAAGAAGCACAUGCAGAGGCUUCUGAAAUCUUAAAUGGGCAAGCUACUAAUCCGGAUCAAGAAAGUGCUUCAAAAGGUUAGUAGUUAUCUUGAUUAAUCACUUGUUUAACCAGAAGGCAAGCUUCCUAAGUAAGUUUCUCAAAGUUAACAUUACUUCCUAUGUUUUAUCUGGAUGAUGGAAAUGCAUCUUACUGGCUGCAGUACAAGAGCAAUGGACAGAUAUAUUGAUAUUGUCCAACACAAUCAAUAUAAACAGUACUGCAUCUGUCAAAAACAUCGAGAUAAAACAAUACAGCCAUAGAACAAUGGAAGAUUAACCUUGGACAUUUAAGAAUUUUGUGACUUUGAUCAGGUUUCACUUUUUAGCCAAUGCCAAUUAAUUGCUUUGUAAAGUUAAUAUAACAAAAAAAAAAAAGAAAUUGUAGGCAAUCUUCCCCCUCUUUGUAGGGCUUUUUUGGAUAUUCCUACAGGAUUGGACUGAAAAUCUGGUAGGAAUUGGGCCUGUUGGCGCAUCUAGCUUAUAUUUUCUAAGAGUUUAUCUAAACCUAGCCCAGAUUCUAGCCUUUGGGCUACAUGAAGAAAAAAAAGACCUAUAGAGAUCGUUUUCUUCUUUUCACGGGAUUUGAGUUGGGUGGUAUUUAGUUGAUAUAGGGCCAUGCUUAAAUGGAUAGCCCAAUCCAUGAAUCCUAUAAGAUUUUCAGCCCAAUCUUAUAUGAAUAUCCAAACAGCCCUUAAUUUUUCAGAAGAGUAAUUCUUUGUCCAUUGCCCUUCGGUGGAGAAAAAAUGCACUGUCCAACCACAUUGGGCCAUGUAGCAUAAUUAAUAAUGGGAUAAAUAUUUUAUGCCGCUUAGCUUUUUUUUCUCAAAUUUUUCCUAAUAAAAAUGUCCUUUUCUUUCAUAGAACAAAUAAAGAAUAGUAUUAUUACUUUUUGAUACCUUAUAUGACUUUCUGUGAUUAUAUAUAAUAUCUUGAAUAAUAUAUAUGACUUCUUGUAUCUUUUGUAUGAUAUCAUGUUGGUUAUAUGACUUUCUGAAUAAUAUAUAUAACAUCCUGAACAAUAUAUAUGACCUUCUAUAAAUAUAUAUGACAUUCUAAAUAAUAUAUAUAACUUUGUAAUGCUUUAUAUGACUUCCUAUCAAUAUAUAUGAUAUUCUGAGCCAUAUAUAUGAUUUUUUGAUGCCUUAUAUGAUUUUCUGUGAUUAUAUAUGACAUCCUGAAUAAUAUAUAUAACUUCUUAUAUCUUUAUAUGAUAUUCUGUUGGUUAUUAUAACUUCCUAAUACCUUAUAUAACUUUUUGUGAAAAUAUACGACAUCCUGAAUAAUAUAUACGAUUUUCUGUGAAUAUAUAUGACAUCGAGAACAAUAUAUAUGACUUCUUGUGGUUAUUAUGACUUUCUAAUGCCUUAUAUUACUUUAUAUUGGUUAUAAUAACUAACAUGAUAUCAUAUAAAAAUACAAAAAGUCAUAUAUUGUUCAAAAUAUCAUAUAUAUUCAUAGAAAGUCAUCUAUAUUAUUCAGUAUAUCAUAUAUACUCACAGAAAAUCAUAUAAGGCAACAGAAUAUCAUAUAAAGAUAUAGAAAGUCAUAUAUGUUGUUCAGAAUAUCAUAUAUACUCACAGAAACUCAUAUAAGACAUUAGGAAGUAAUAAUACUAUUUUUUCUUUGUUUAAAUGGUAUUUUUGUCAAAAAAAAGUUUGAGAAAAAAAGUUGAGCGGCAUUAAAUAUUUGUCCCAUUAUUAAUUACGCUACGUGGCUCAAUGUGAUUGGACAGUGCGCUUGUUUUCCACCAGAGGUGGUGGACAAAGAAUUUCUCUUUUCAUAAUCUACCGUGAAUACCUAAUGUGUAUCUGCCUUUCACAUCUUUAUUUAUUGGUACUACAAAUUUGAUAUCACCGUGUACAUGUGGUGACAUUUGGAAAUGGUGGACACUGAAUCAGUAUCAAUUUUGACACCCCGAAGUUGGAACCAUACUGGCAUCAACCUUGUCCUAUUCUUUGCAUCACUGCACAUUGUUGUACUUUACCAUGUUCUUGUAUGUUUACGAUGCAACAAACUGUUGAAAUUACCUGAUCAUUUUUUUAUGCUUGAAAUACUCGUUGAAAGUGUUACCUGGUCAUCAAUUUUCCAUCACCAAGAAUCGAUGUCACACUCAAAUUUUUUACAGUAUGUAACUGAUUUCAUAUCUCGAUUGACCAAGGAUUUUUUUUCCUCUCUGAGUCUCAUGCAUCAUUAGCUAUGCCUGCAGUGUCUGUGGUAUUAUUUGCACCAUAAUAUUAAGAGGAAUCUUUAGCAAAUUGAUUAACACUAAUAGAAUCUUGUUGGCAAAUCUAUCCUUUGUUCUAAUAAUAUGUGUGUGGCUUGCAGUUGGUGCGCAAAAUGCAACAACUAUUUCUGCAGCUCUUGUAAAGCAAUUACGUGAAGAAACUGGGGCAGGAAUGAUGGACUGUAAGAAGGCUCUUGCAGAGACUGGGGGUGACAUUGUGAAAGCCCAAGAGUUUCUCCGGAAGAAGGGUUUAGCAAGUGCUGAGAAAAAGGCCAGCAGAGCCACUGCAGAAGGAAGAAUUGGGUCUUAUAUCCAUGACAACAGAAUUGGAGUCCUAAUUGAGGUGAACUGUGAAACAGAUUUCGUUUCUCGAGGUGAAAUUUUCAAGGAGUUAGUUGAUGACCUUGCUAUGCAAGUCGCUGCUUGUCCUCAAGUACGCUACUUGGUUAUUGAAGAUGUUCCAGAAGAAAUUGUUAACAAGGAGAGAGAACUAGAAAUGCAAAAGGAAGACCUUUUGACAAAACCAGAGAACAUCAGGUCAAAAAUUGUAGAUGGCCGAAUAAGAAAGAGACUUGAAGAAUUUUCAUUGCUUGAGCAACCAUAUAUUAAGAAUGAUAAGAUAAUAGUUAAGGAUUGGGUGAAGCAAACCAUUGCCUCAAUUGGGGAAAAUAUCAAAGUAAGAAGGUUUGUUCGCUACAAUCUUGGAGAAGGUUUGGAAAAGAAGAGCCAGGACUUUGCUGCUGAAGUGGCUGCCCAAACUGCGGCAAAACCAUCACCAGAAGUCCCCGUGGAUCAACCAUCUGAAGCCAAGGAAGCUGCUGAGAAGUAAGCCUCCUCCCCUUUUUCAUGCACAGGUUCACAUCCAUAGUAUCCAAACCAAGUUGCUGGUCUUUCUGGAUCAAUAACUUCUGUGAAACUUUCAAAAGAUGCAUAUUCAUGAUUAUAAUAGCAUGCCAUACAUAGGAGCACGAAUCGUAGAUAAUAAGGUGCUGUGUUAGUUGAAAUGUAAUUACCUACUUUGUGGCUAUAUCUGAUGAAGUGGUUGAAUCGUCGAAUCAAAGUGUGAAUCAUAGAUAAUAAGGUGCUCUGUUAGUUCAGGGUUAAAAGAAACUGGAAAAGAAAACGGUGCAUGCUUGUUCAUUAUUGUAUCUGGUCUAAUGCAUUCAUGUCUUUGGCUGUCUGUGUAGAUAAUUUUUGGAAUUUUAGUGAGAAUAGAUCUUCCUGUUUAGCAUUUCUGAUGACCUUAGAAACUUCUCAUUUGCAGGCCACCGACAGUUGCAGUGUCAGCUGCCCUGGUCAAGCAACUUAGGGAGGAAACAGGUGCUGGCAUGAUGGAUUGUAAGAAAGCUCUUACAGAAACUGGUGGAAACCUUGAGAAGGCUCAGGAGUACCUUAGGAAGAAGGGUCUAUCAUCUGCUGACAAGAAAUCUUCCAGACUAGCUGCAGAAGGUCUGAUCUCUUCCUACAUCCAUGAUUCUCGAAUUGGUGUGCUCAUCGAGGUCAACUGUGAGACUGAUUUUGUUGGUCGGAACGAAAAGUUCAAGCAGUUGGUUGAUGACCUUGCAAUGCAAGUCGUUGCAUGCCCACAAGUUGAGUUUGUCUCCAUAGAGGACAUCCCAGAACAUAUUGUACAAAAGGAGAAAGAAAUAGAGAUGCAGAGAGAGGACCUGAAGUCAAAGCCUGAGCAUAUAAGGGAGAAGAUAGUGGAAGGAAGGAUUGGGAAGAGGCUGGGAGAACUUGCUCUCUUGGAGCAGCCAUUUAUCAAGGAUGACACUGUGUUGGUGAAGGAUCUGGUGAAGCAGACGGUCUCUGCCCUUGGAGAGAACAUCAAAGUUCGGAGAUUUGUUCGCUACACUCUUGGAGAGAGCAAGGAUUGAGAGGUGUGAAAGGUCAUGGCGCUGCAUUUUUCAUAGGCCUUUCACACGAAGAGUUGAAGGUGAUGCCAGAAGGGUUAUGUGCUUCAUGUAAACGUAAGGUUAUUGCAUUCAGUUGUAUUUAUUUGAUCAUAUCAUUCCGAUAUAUGGAAUCAAGGGACCAGAAGUGCAAAUUUUGAUCCUAUUUCUGUUUUUUCCAUCAUGUGUUCUUCAUUUUUCUUCUUUUUCUUUUUUCUGCUGCUGCCAAUCUGCAGGUAUGUUCAAAUACGAAAAGAAACAAGUUUGUCAGAGGUGGUAACUUUUGCCAGCAUGGAACAUGGUUUCUUGGUGGAAACUAGAGCGCCGCUGUUACGUUCUAUGCUGAAGACAUGCAUAUCAGUUUCAGGGUAAAAAUUUGAGUAUUGGUCUUGUAACCUUAGCCGUGGCUUCUAUUUGCCAUCUGGCAUUUUGAACAGUCCACAAUCUGAUAUGCUAGCAGGACUUUGUAUGCCAACUACCAUGUUAGGAUAGCUAUUCAAACAUACCCUCCCAAGUCUGUCUUAUAUUUAGAUUAAAGAAUCCUUUAUUGUUGCACUUACCAGUAUCAUGCAGUAGAAAUAUGCUGGUGGCAUUGCAUCUAAGAGGCUGUAUUGGACCAUAUAUUAUGCAAGCCAUUCAAAUAAACUGAUAGAGCGCUAUAUCGUUGAAGCUAACUAAAUUGGCCGUUUAGUUAGUUGAACAGGGGAGGGAUAUUUUAUCAAAAAGUUUCGGAGCGGAGAACCAUUGUACCACAUUAAUUACUGGACAUGGGCUUGGUAAAAGGGAACGGCGGAGUCUUCAAAGAAUCUCAACCGGAUCUCUGGUGCUACAUAUUUCUCUUCCAUUCCCUCCUAAGAAUACAAGUCUGGCGUCGUCCAGUUGGGUUCAGAGUUCUCUCUCUUUUUCUGGUUAUUGUUGUGUACAUGUUGAUGCCAUAUGGCUAAUAAAAAUUUGUCCUCUAUUGCAUGGGAAGCGCUCAAAGCUGUUAUCAGACACUGGGUUAAGGUUUAUGCCUGAAGGCUGACUACCAGAUGGUAGUUGGGUGGCUGCUUAAGUGUAAAGAUAACAGCAUAGAUGUUGGUUGCCCUAUUCUAGAAUAGGGUAUCCAUUUUUCUGUCAAUGUCUAUGUAAAAAAUCUAUAUCCUAUUCUAUAUAAUUUUGGCUUGUACUCUCAUCUCUGUGCCAAAUAGGGACCAAUUUGAUGGUUUGGGAAAAUCACUUCGCAUAACCUCUUAGUGAGAAGGUCAAAAAGAACUUCUGGAGAAAAAUAAUGACAUAUGUCCUGAAGAAUUAUUCUUGUGCUACAUUGUGAUAUUAGAAAUUUAGGUUUUGUGCAAAAUGACCUUAUGCCAUCUUUAACCUGUGAAAUAUAUUUUAUGUUUUUUUCCCUAUUUUUUGAAGUUUUCUCGACAAGUCCAAAUGACUUGCAGGACAACUUUUCUGAUGGAUGGUCCUGAAUUUUCUUUAAUGAAAAGAUGAAAAUUUUUUUAUUAAGCCAUGAAAUUUGUUAAGCAGCUUCUAACAAUUGAUUGAAAAUAAAAGAGAGCAUCCUCCAAUCAAAUUGAUUCACAGUCAAGCGAAGGAGCAUUUUUAGAUAAAAGAUGUGUAACAGGAUUCCAUUUUCCCAUUAUAUGAAAGAUGACACAACUCUUGAAACUUUUUCAAAUCACUUUUAUAUCUUUAAUAAUUACUUAAAUAAUUUACUGACUGUAAUUCCCUCUCCAAUUUCUCUGAUCCUUCAAGUCAGAUAAUUUUGAUAGGAUUGAAUAUAACACAUAAAUUAGCACAAUCAAAUAAUAAUCAUGCUCUCUGAAUUAGUGGUGCAAGGGAAGGUCUAUGCUUUGCUAUCGCUAUAAUUAGUACUGGAUCUAUUUUAUUUCAUGAUAGGAUGAUAUGAGAGUCUUUGCAAAUGAGAGAGGCUUCAUAUAUGAAUUUUGAUGCAGAGUUUUCCUGUUUGACAGCUUUAAAAUAUCAAUUUUUUCAAAAAAUUGUAUAUUUUUUAAAAUUUUAAAAGAAAAUCAGGGAAGUAUAUCUUUUCUCGAAAGCCCUUGAAGCCUUUCUUGUUAAUUUUUAGCUAAAUUCUUUCUCAAAUGGUCGGGUUUGAAUAAUGCAAAGCUCAAGUAAUUACUCUGAUGACUCUUUAUAUCCAUUUCUCAACUCUAGAGGAGUCGAAUGGAAUCUUACCUCUUGUUGCUUCAAAAAUUAAAUAUUUUUUUUGGUUCGCUCUAAUGUAUAACUAAAAUGCUAGAGGUCUAUGAAAGAAAUUGGAUGAGUAUCUUGGUGGUUGUAUUCUUUACAAUUGCAAUAUAGCAUUUGUGGAUCAUAUUUCUUAUUUCCUAUCCUUUUACCUCUUGAAUUUGAGAUGUUUUCUUAUAUGCAUUGAGUUCCCUAUCUCUUGAUAGCUUUGUUGAGCCUUGCACAAUUUGAAGAAAUAGCUAUUUCUCUAAAGAGUGGCGGCGUGCUACCUUCAUGUUAAUUGCUGCUAUUUCAUAUUAUUGGAAGAACAGAAAAUUGAAGAUCUUCCUUAAAAAAUUCUUCUUGACUGAAUUUGUGGUUUUUAAAAGAUCUUAAAUUUCAAAUGAAUGGUCUCUUCUCUGCAAUCACAAAGAUCUACUUAGGAGUUAUUAAAUUUUAGAUAAAAAUCAAGCAAGUGCAUCAAUUCUUUUCUUUUGCUGCUGAUUAACCUUCUGAAGUUGUUUUCAGCAAGAGAAAGCUUGGGCUUAGUGAAGUUGAAAAUUCUUAUUUUGAAGCACUAAAGUGGAGGAAAUUCAGAAAUUGUGAAAAGUCCUCAGCCUCAAAAGCAAGAUGCCAUUCCUCCUACUGCCUUCUCUCUCUCAAUCUUACUUUUAAAAAAAAAAUUAUUAUUUUUUUUCCUCGCCUGUUUACCUUCUUCGUAUUUCAUCCUUUUGUUUCUUCCCCUCCUCUCCUUUUCCUGUACAUUUUAACCAUUAAUAAAUCAGGUGGCCGAGCCUUCCAUUUCCGAAAAAAAAAAACAAAAGAAAAGAUUUAAAAGAGAAAAAACCAAUCUAAUUGGUGUUAAUUUUAUGUUACUUGCUUCUAGAAACGUGAUUACUUUCCCUUUCCGGAGGUGAAAAAAAGAGGAGGUCCGGUCCUCUCCCAUCCUCCGACGUCCAGAGCCAGUUCUUCUCCUCUCUACAGAGGGGUACGCCACCUUCCCCUCUUCUCCCAACUCUCCUCUUCUUUCACGAAUCCUGGUCCUCAAUUCUCCCCGCCGUUCUGGAACCCUGCGGAUUUUUUUCUUUCUUUUUACCAGGGUCUAGGGUUUUUGUUCUUCAUGCUCUCUCUUACAGCUGGUUCUUUCUGCUGCGUUCUUUAGGGUCUCAGGUUUGUGGCUUAGGUUUCCCCUGCUCUGUCUUUCAUAUACGUGUAUGUAGUCAUAUCAGUAGCAUCUAAUUGUAUGGAAUGGUUAGAUUUGAAUGCUCUGUUGCAUGGCUUUGGCAGCAAGUGAAGCAAGUCCUUGGUCGAUCAGCCACAUUCUUGUAAUUGUUCAUAAAUUCACAUGGCUUGGUGUAUUAUAUGAUGUAUGGGGAUAAUUACAAAUCCACCAGAGAAAUGCAGGUCAUAUUUUAGUUGAAGAUAACUUUUGUUCUUGUGUUCUAUACAUGGUUUGGGAUUUAUGUAUCUAAUUGUAGUGUAAUUCAUGGCUUGUUUGCUAGCACUGUCCAUCUCAUCUUGGGGCAAUGGGUUAAUGAACAAUGCUUUGUUGUGCUAUAUGCACAAUUGUGGAAGCAGCAUAGGCAAAUUCUUGCUAUUAGUACAACAUCGCACUAGCAUUAAUGGCAAAUUCUUGCUGUGUGGCCAUCCAAACAGGCUGACUCCUGUUUGUGUGUAAAUUCUUUUUUUUUUUUUUUUUGUCAAUACUUAUGUACAGAUAAUUUCUUUAAUACAUAUACAUAAAUAAAUUCUUUGGUAUAUGAUAUUUUCCCUGAGUUAUGCGGCAGAUUUUUGGUCUAGAAGUGAGAUACAAAGGCAGUUUGAUUCAAUGGCUGAUUGGAGGAAUAGCAAAAGCAAACGGCCCUAUUAUCAGGAAGACAAUGUCUACAACUGGCGAAGCAAAAGAAGAAAUCCUGGUUAUGAUAGAGACCCUAAUGUUCCUGGACCAGAAGAUACUGUCUACCGAUACUUGUGUCCAGCAAGAAAGAUAGGAGGCAUCAUAGGAAUCGGUGGUGAGAUUGUGAAGCAACUGAGGGCUGAAACUCUAGCCAAGAUUAGGAUCGGAGAGAAUGUACCAGGUUGUGGGGAGCGAGUCAUAACUAUCAUUAGCUCAAGCUCAGAAACUAGUGCCUUUGGAGAUACUGAUGAUUAUAUUUGUCCUGCACAAGAUGCACUAUUCAGGGUGCAUGAGAAGCUUGCAGCAUGUGAGGUGCAGUAUGAUGAAGACAAAGGAAUGGGUGAACCACAAGUAACUGCUCGUCUGCUUGUACCAUCUGAUCAGAUUGGAUGUGUAAUUGGGAGAGGUGGGGGAAUUAUUCAACGCAUCUGUGCUGACACAGGUGCUCAGAUUUGCAUCUUGAGGGAUGAACAUCUUCCUUCAUCUGCCGUUAGGGGUGAUGGGCUUCUCCAGGUAUUGUAGUUUGUUCAUUAUCAAUCUAAUUUUGCUGAGUAGCAUGAUAAAUUAUGAUACUGUCAGAACUGUUCAUAAUGAAUCGUUUGUAUACAAAAGCUUUUGAUGAUUUCCUGGACUUGCAUCUGUAGUGACUUGUAACUGGUGUAUCUGAUGUUGCACUUCAGACAGUCUUGGUGUUACAACCACUAAUGGCAGCUAACACGCCAUAUCCCUUGAUCCAUGUCAAAUGCUAAUAUUUAUUCUUCUCUUAGUUGUGUAUAUUUGGAUGCACAUAACUCUGUUAUACAUGUUCUCAUGGAUGUCACUUCUCUCUAUUCUGCCAUGUCUUGCAAUGAAUAUCUUAUCGAGUGUAACCUAUUGGAUAUCAGAUUACUGGUGAAGGCCCAGCUGUGAAGAAGGCAUUGUUUCAGGUCUCAUUUCGUCUUCAUGACAAUCCAUCUCAGUUGCAACACCUGCUUUCUCCCAACAUGUCUCAUUCUUGCGAAGCAGGUGGUCCAUAUCGUGGUCCAAAUGUAAGUGAUGCAGUAAGUGAACGGCCAAGAACUUGCCCUUCAAGGGACGAAACUUCUGCAAGGGAAUUCGUGCUCCGCUUGUUGUGUCCAUCUGUCAACAUUGGCCAGGUUAUUGGCAAGGGUGGUGAAAUUCUCAAUCAGAUCAGGCAGGAUUCCAGAGCAUUUAUCAAAGUAGAUAGUUACUAUGAUGAUGACGACUUCACCAUAUCAAUUUCAGCCGAAGAGGUGAGAGUCAUGUAUACUUAUGAAAUUUCAGUAUUGAUCUCAUAAUUCUAUCAAGGUUUAUCAUCUUUCCAUUUUCCUCUCUUCAGUUCUUUGAGGAUCCAAUUUCUCCAACUAUCGAUGCUGCAGUUCGCUUGCAGCCUCGUUGUAGUGAGAAGACUGAGGAAGACUCUGGUGAACCUUCAUACGCUACUCGCUUACUUGUAUCAGCACGGCAAAUCGGUUGUCUGAUUGGUGUUGGUGGAUCUAAGAUAUCUGAGAUGAAGAGAGCCACACGAGCAAAUAUCAGAAUAAUUAAGACAGACCUUCCCAAAGCUGCUUCUGAUGAUGAUGCGACAGUCCAGGUUGACAUGCUUUUGGUUUAUAACUAUUGUUGUAUAUUAUUAUUUGAAUAUUUGUGAUGGCAAGUUUUCUCUUCUUUUACAUAAGCAAAAGAGCAUGAGUAUUUUGUUGUUUAAUGUUUGUACAGAUCAGUGGAGACAAUAAUGCUGUCAGACAUGCUCUCAUACAAGUAACUGAACGGUUAAGGGCUAAUUUAUUUGGAAGGGAGGAUGCUUUGUCUUCAAUUCUGUCUUCCAUGUACCAUUUCAUUCCAAGAGAUGCACAUGGUCAUGGGUGUUCUUAUUCUGCUGAAUAUGGUACUUCAGGUGAUGUGCCACCCUCUGAAAACUAAGAAGCCAUGGUUGUUCUCAGGUAAAGUUUUUUGUUAGUUGUCAGAAAGAAUCAGGUGAUGUUAUUUUGCUCUGAAUCUGUAGUGUGAUGUUCGAAUUGUUAGAAAGUUGUGCCAUGUUUUUUUUAAACUUGUUAUCUUUUCGUUUUAUCAAGCUUUAUAUGCAGUAUAAUGAUUAACUCAUUGGCUACUCCAACUUAUUAUUUUUGCUGUUAAUCUGUCUAUGUUGGUGGUGGUUUUGGAACAUAUGAUAGAUUUUCAUUCUGGCAGCACUAGGUAAGGUCUGUUAGAUUGAUGAAAACCAUUGUUUUGCGGUUAUUUUACUUUAAUAAACUUUGCUUUACCUAACUUCUGAAACCAGCAUCAAAGUGCUAUUUAUAUUUUCUUAGUGCAAGAAGUCCUGCAAUUUUGUAGUUAUUUUUCUUUUGCAUUGAACUUUAGGAUAUCUGCACUAAUAUCAAUUCAUUUUGGAUAUCUUAUCAGAAGCCAUGUUUUCUAAAAUUUUAGAUCCACAAUACUGUGAAGGUUAGGUUAUUUACCAUCAUGGUGAAAUUCUUGUUAUAUCGCUGAUUUCAAGACUCUGCAUUGUGGCCUUUUUUACAAUUGUUUAUGAUUAUCUUUCAAUAUAUUUCUGGACUUGAUCCUUACUGUUCUUGCUAUGACAAAUGCUUUUGUCUUUGAUCAUGUUUGUGGUUUUGCAUCUUUGAGCUUUUCCACAUGAUAAAUGAUCUUUUAGUUCAAUUUGGUUUGUUCCAUGUAAAUUCUGAGGCUUGCUUGAACAAUUUACGCUAGUGUAUGGAUGACAGCAAUCAAGUGUUACCAUCCAGCUCAGUUAAUGGACAAUAUUAUUGCUUUAAGCUUGCACUAUGUCUCCAGACUUGUAAAUUUUGUAAGUAUGCAAGACCAUGUGAUGGUAUUUUCAUUUUCCACUCUCACUCAGUAAUACAAUGAUUACAUUGCAAUGUCGUCAACUCUGCAGGUUCUGUGAAUUUUAGUUUGAAUUGAACUCCUGGUGAGCAUCGUGCAUGGAGGUUUAGCAAAUUAUACAUUGUUCGUACAUAUUAAUGUUUGGCAAAUUGUAUAAGUUGCUCCGAUGUAAAAUUAAUAUCAAGGCUCUUUUUGGAUAGUUCCGAGUCUGUAUGUAGCACUAGCUGGCCUGUUAGAAGAGGCUUAUGAAUUUUGUAUUGUCCGGUGAGCUUUGACUUUUGUUCAUUGUCCUGUUAAUCUAUUUUUGUGAUCAUUAUUUAAAUUGAUUUAAAAGGUCAAAAAUUGACUUAAAACCCAUCCAUAAACUAGAGUGCAAUUGCUAUAUUUGAAGUUUAUGAAGGGUAAAUAUGCAUAUGUUGAAGGCUAAAGAAGACCAAUUAAGCGAUGAGACGCGUGAUAGCUUCCAUAUGUUUGGAGGAACUCUGUACCUCCGAAAGAUGAUUCUACUUCGUGGUGCUUCUCAAGGUUAAAGCUUCUCUCUUUAUUGCAAUGGUGAAGAUCAUUCCAAAUGCUGGUGGGAAGAAAUGGUGUAAGAGGACAGUUUAUCACUUGUUUUUGUGCUCUAGGUCAGCUUGGUCACUUGUAAUGCUCUCCGUCUCUUUGAUAAGUUUUUCAAAAGAAUUGAUUACAACAAUUUUAUUCAUACUCAUGAGAGUGUGGUCCGUUCUUACAAAAUUCUGAUUGGAUUUCUCUUCAGUUGGAUGAAGUUAUAACUUUUGUUUAUUAGAUAUGGCUAGUGAAAAUAACUAUGAAAAAGUUAGAAUUCUUUCAAAGCUACAUCUAGAUUUUUACAUCAAUUUUGUUUUUAGUUACUUUGCCAAAUUUUUUUGGAUUUCGAGAUAUGGUUGGUUAAAGUCUUUUCUGAAAAACAAGCUUUUAUUUUAACCGGCCCGUUUGGAGAUGCAAAAGUCAUUGUAUGUUCUUGAUCAUUGUGCGUAUUAAGUUCUUUAGUAAUGGAAAUAAUUUUGUAGAUAUCAAAAAAUUAUCUUUUUUUUUUUAAAAAAAAAAAUCAUCUUGAUUAGGUAUUGUAUGGGAAGUUAUAAUAUUUGAAAGUUUAGGCACACAAUUUGACUUUUGAUAUGGUUGGAUCUCGCUUCCAGGCUGUCUGUGUCUAUCUGAAGAGACUAGGGUGGUCCCUGGCAAGUGUGAUGAUCUUUUUCGAGUCAUUCUCUCAUUUUUGUUUUAGGAAAUUUUGCUAAAUGCAGAAGGACCUGACAAGCAAUUUAACCAUAAGAAAGGUGAAGGGACGGCGUCUUUUUUUCCUUUUCUUUUUUGGUAAGAAGAAAUGAGGUGUCUUUUGAUUUGAUCAGGGAGUACAAGCCACCGCCGUCACUCAAACCUGGCCACGUCCUACCUUCACCUACCAUUCCUCAUCUUAAACCACGGUAUUCCGCUCUUCUUUCAGGUUCAAACAAUCUCGACUCCCAAUCCAUUGUCAAGUACUGUAACCAUGUUAUUGUAUUUGAUUUAAUGUUCUUAAUGAAAUCUUGAGGGGCUCUUGUCUUCCUUAUCAUUCAAAAAAUUUUGAUUAAAAAAAUGUUUCUUUCUUUUAUCGAAGAAAUUUUGUUCGAGUGACUGCUUCUGCGAUUUUAAAUAGAAACUUACGAUUUGAUGCCGCGCACAUGUUGUGGCAUGAGGUAAGGAGUCAAUGGGGGGUUGAAUUCUGAAAAGUUGGCAGGUUGGGUGUCUGGGAUUUCACGCGAAGUCUCAGAUGGCCCCGUGCUUGAAACAUGUGAAAGUUGCUGCAACGUUCAUUAUCCCAUGUCCCAUUCCUACAAUCAUGGAAGAUUGGUUUGGAAGCUCGAAUGGUUUAAACAAUGUAGUAAUAAAUGAUGAUGUACAAAAUUCUUAGAUGAUCAAGACUUUGAGUAGUUUUUCUUCUCGUAUCAUACACGUUUUAGUUUGGGGUACCGUAAACUUAUUUGUGGAACCAGAGGUGCCUUAUCAAUUGCAGAAAAUAGAAAAUAUUUGAAUAAAUAAGUAAAAUGUCAUAUCCCGGUCCAGUAGAUGGAGUCGGACACAUGAUGGCCACAUAUUUUUAGAAUUUAAUCACGUGAUACAUGGAUGGCUUAUCUUUUUUAUUCGUACACAUCUAUUUCAUUUUAAAAUAAUAAUUUAAUAUAUUUAUUAAAAAAUAAUCUAUAAUUCUUUAAUAAUAAUGAAUAAAAUUAAUCAAUUGUUUCAAAAAAUAUUAUUCACAUAUGUUCCACGUCCUAGGAUCCUCACUGUCUGAAUCCAAGCCCUGUCUAUCCCUUGAUAUGAUAUUUUUCUAAAAAAAAAAAUUACAGGAUCAAUAAGUUAUUAGAACCUUUACUUUGAUGAAAUAUAAAUUUUUAAUUUUUUUUAAAAAAAUAUGUCGUAUAUCAUAUCUAUCAAUAUAAAAUUUAAGAUGUAUAAUAUAUUUGAUCAAAAUAAAUUUUCAAAAUAAUCAAAGAUGAAUCACUCGAUCUCACUUUCCUAAUUUGCAUGAUUAUGGCCGCAACCAAUCCGUAGCUAGCCAUGAAAUAAAUUAAAUCUUAAUUGUAACAUACUGUCCAUCGAUCACAUAUUAGUGAUUGCCUCAUCAAAGAAUCGAAAGAAAACUAGCAAUGAUAUCAUGCAAUAAAAUAUUUCCCCACCAACAUAUGCUAAGAAUUAACUUUAAGAUCUAAAAAAAAAUCAACUCCUGAUUAUAAUAUGCUGUCAGUCGACAUGAAAAUAAUUUUUUUAUUGAAAGCUCAAAAAAAAAAAAAAAUUUAUAGUUGCGGCAAAAUCAGCAUAUAACAUAUUUGUCAAUGCAAUGAAAUUUAAAUGAUAUCCAAAUAAAUAUUGUUAUACUUAAUCUGAUAUUUAACAAAUCAUUUUCUUAUAGAACAGAUAUGAUACUUAAUUUAAAUAAAAUAUAAUAAUAAUAGAUUAAUUUUCAAAUCAGAUCGUAUACCUGCAUGAUAGAAUACUAGUGUUAGAGGUGACUUGAUUCGAGACCAAAUAACGUCCCGAUCUCUUUGGAAUGGUCGAUCAAAAUGGGACUGGCCUAGCCCUAAUUGAAUUUUGGACUCGGAUGGAUCAUAUCCUUCUUCUUUUUUUUUCCCCUCUUCUUCUUUUUCCAUGGCCAAAACAAGGGUUCUGACAGGUUUCCCAUGGCAUUAAGAGGGAGGAUGGAGAGAAGGAGAAAGGAAGGUGGGGUCUGGCAGUUGUGACAAGGGCGGGGUGGCCGUGGCUUGAGGCGGUGGUCCGGUCGGAAGUGGGUAAGGGAAGAGGGAAGGGGCAUCGACCUUGCUGCCUUGGUGGCAGCUUCUCGACCAGGGAAGAAGCAAGGGGAGGAGGGGGACUCACAGCCACGGGGAGUGGCGGUGGCAGCGAUCCCAGCUGUCGGGGACCGAAUCGUACGGAAUGGAGGCCAACAUGUCUCGAGCGGCGGGGGCAGCGAUCUCAACCAUGGGGGCCCGAUUCCCCCGGAAUGGAGGCUAACGUACGUCGGAACAGGGGAGGCAGCGGAGGUUAGAAAGGAAGAGAUCCGGCCGUUUUGGCUGGCGGCUCUCAAACACGGGGGCACAAUGGCCAUCGGAGACGAGGAAGAAAGUGGGAUAAGGUGCCAGAGUCUCGAGGAAGAAAGGUUCGUUGUCUUUACAAAAAAUAAAAUAAAAUAAAAUAAAAUAAAGGCUCUUGAGAUUAUGCCCUUUGUCAAGCCGUUAGAAUGACCACAGAAACGGCACGGAAUAGAGAAGAAAGAAGCAAUUGGUGAAGAGGGGCCACCAUCAUCCAAAUAGUGGAUUGAGUCGGAAUGGUAGCCGCCUCCAACCAGAAGGAGAUCUCGGAAACAAUGGUUUAGAAAUUUAAAAAAAAAAUUAAUUGAGUAAACUUGCAUUCAGAUUUGGCCAGAUCUAGGUUGUAUAUUAAAAGUCCUACGAUCCUUAUUUAACAUACAGGUUAGAUAUCUCCAAAUUAUAUGAUUUAAAAAUAAUAUAUAAUAAAAAAAUAAUAAUAUAAAUAAUAUUAAAUUAUAUAUAUUUUUGAUUACUUGAUAUAUAGAUUAGGAAUCUCUAGAGAUGGCAAUUAGAUCAGGUCGGAUUGGAUAUAAGUCGAAUCAAUAUGGAUCGAAUAAAAAAAUCAUUAAUCUAAAUUCGAUCUAUUUAUUAAAUAGGUCAAAAAUUUAGUUUUGAACCCAAUCUGUUUAUUACAAUAGAUAAUCUGACUCGACCUGCUUAAUCUAUUUAUUAAACAGGUUAAAUUAGGUUAAAUAGAUUAAACAUAUUAAAUGAGUCAGAAACAGAUUAAACAAGUUGGGUUAAAUAGAUCAGAAAUAUGUUAAACAGAUUAAAUAGGUCUUAAAUAAAUUAAAUAUAUUAAAUAGGUUAAACAAGUUAUUUGACUCCAACUGAUUUGAAUAUUAAAUAAGUUAAACAAAUAAGAUAUUCCAAAUCCAAAUCUGAUCUAAAUAUUAAACAGAUUAAAUGGAUCGAUCUGUUUAUGAUCCAAAUCCAUUUAGCUUAAAUCCAAAUUUAUUUAUGGCAUAUUGAAUAUGGAUCGAAUUGGUAGGUCAGAUCAUAUUUUAUCGGACCUAGUUAGGGAUCUCUAAAUCAUAUAAUUUUUGAUGUGUAAAUAGUUUAAAGAUUGUAGAUCAUGUCGAACUAUUUGGAUUAUCAAUAUAAGACCCCUAUUAUCGAAUGUAAAUAUAAUCGAAUCAGAGCGGAGAUGCACUCAAGUAUAGCAAGUCUAGCUCUACAUACAUAUCCAUAAUCAAUAAUCAGGCAAAAUGAAGAUCUAUAAUAUUAAUCAUGAUUUAUAUCGCUAAAUAUAUCUAGAAACCAAAAAUCAUAUAAUUUGGUUGUCUUUGACCUACAAAUCAACAAACACAAAUUGACCAUUAAAUUGAUAUAAGACUAUAUGUCGCGAUGAUCUAAGUAUGGAAUCUACUGAUUUUUAAUGUAUAUAUAUUAUUAUGUAUGGAUCAUGAUCAAUAAUACAGAUUAUUGAUUUGAGAACUUGAUUAUUGGUUUUAGACCUAAGAGGGGUAAACUAUUUAUUAUGGGGGUCAAAUAGUGCUAACUUGAGCUAUUAGAUGUGAUUUAUUAUUUAUAAAUUAUUUAUGUACCAAAAAAUAUGUAAUUUGGAACUCCUAGCUUAUAUGCUAAGUGGCUAAAAAUUUUGGAUAUUUUAAAUAAUAUGAAAUAAUGCAUGCUUUUAAACCACUUGAUGUAUAAGCUAGGAUUUUCUAAUUGUAUGAUUUUUGGUGUGUAAGCAGUUUAAAGGUAAUAGAUCAUAUCAAAUGACUUGUAUCAUUGAUGUAGAAUCUCAUUGUUCAAUUCAAUAAAUGCAAUUUUGUAAGAGUUACAUAUGGUGUAAAUUGAUCUUCACUUGUACACACACACAUACACACACACAUACAUACAUACACACAUACAUAUAUAUAUAUACACACACACACACACACACACACGCAUACAUACAUACAUACAUACAUACAUACAUACAUAUNNNNNNNNNNNNNNNNNNNNUACAUAUAUAUAUAUAUAUAUAUAUAUAUAUAUAUAUAUAUAUAUAUGUGUGUGUGUGUGUGUGUGUGUGUGUGUGUGUGUGUGUGUGUGUAUGUAUGUAUGUAUGUAUAUUUUACCUAGUUUUUGCUCAGAUGGUAUCACUUGACAAUAGGGCUGGAAAUAGGUCGAGCUGGGCCAGGCCACACCUCUAUCCGAAAAAAAUUUAAAACAUAAAGUUCGAGCCCGAGCUCGAUCCGAAUCCAAUCGGGCUGGCCCAAUCCCGAGUCCAAGCCCAAGAUCCGACCCAACCCCCUCCCUCAUCCCUCUGUUUUUCUCUCCUUCCCUCUCUCUUUCUUUCGUGAAACUUCCAUACACUUCGCCGCCUCCCUCCCCGAUUGCCGGCCCUCUCCUCCCCUCCUUUGUCGAAAAGGGAGAGGUUGCGAAGUCAUCGUAGGAGAUCUCAUCGGUGAGGUCGAGACAUUCGAGGGCGAGGGAGACCAUGGUGCUGGAGUCGUCACAGGAGAUCUCGCCCUAAUCACCGGGGUAGGUGGAGGAUCCCUCUGGUGGGAGCUUCCAGGAGUCGAUGAUGUUGGAGAGGGGUUGGUGUGGAUGCUGUUUUUGAACUCUAGGAGGGAUUGGAUGUCGUCGGAGGGCAUGACGAUGGAGAGUCGACCGAUGAAGGUGAAGAUCGCAUGGAGGAUGGAUGAAGCUAGGGUGAAGAGAGUGAUGGGGUAAGAUCGGAAGAUGGGUGCAUUAGGUGGAGAAGGGAUUUUAAGCAACCGAACGGAUGAAUCGUUUUGAAAUUUUAAGAUGAGUCCUAAUUGGCCAAGAUUGGACAUAGACUAUUGAUUGGGUUAAACUCAUUUAGAAUUAGGCUUGACUGGGCUAUUAGAUUUUUAAUAAGAUUUUUUAGACUAUUGAUCGGACUGAGAUUCGAGCUCGAGCCCGAGCCGAGCUUAGGUCGGGUCAUAGAUAUGCCCAAGUCUGGUCUGAAAGACAAAUGAGCUCUAUAUUAAGGCCCAAACCUGAUCUGAAUUAUUUCGGACCGAGCCCAAGCUCGAUCCAAAGUCGGUCCAACUCGAUGAGCCUCGAACCAACUUGAGCCCAGUUCUAACCUUACUCGACGAUGGGGUGGUGGUACGAUUUUGGAUGGGACACCCUUUAGUUAAGAGGUAUGAUAGAUAUAAGAUGAAAAGAUAGGUGGGGAUUGGCCCCUCCUAAUCUAUAUAUAUAUNNNNNNNNNNNNNNNNNNNNUGUGUGUGUGUGUGUGUGUGUAUAUUGGUGCUUCUUGUAUUACGUGGCAUGUUGUUAAUGACUCAUAUAGGCCUAUGUUUAAUUCUAUAUUGAUUAUACAUUGAAUAGAUUUUGGAUACUUAUAAAGGAUCAAAAAAUUUAAAUAAUAUUUUUGGGCUAACUUUUUUAGGUGAGCUCUAUUUUGUUUUAUUAUUUUUUCUUUUUAUAUAAACAGGGGGUCACACUAUUCUAGUGUGAGCACAGUCUAAAAAGUUAGAAUAUAAAAUAUCUUUCAGAGAUCAGAGACAAUCGUAGCCUCAACGUCAGGUCAGUUUCUAGUGUGUUUGGCAACAAAGGAGGCAAUCCAAUAUAUGGCACUAUUUAUCUUCCAAAAAAAUGUGCCAAAUAGUCAUCACAAUAGAAUGACGAAGGAACUUCCAGAUAUCGCAGAGGAGUGGAUGAACAUCCAGAUGCUUUGCCUUCUUCCAGAUCUAGCUGAUGACUGUAACAGAGUCAUCCUUAAUGAAGAUUUUCUCUGUCCAUAGCUAGCUCCCUCGCGUAGAUGAUGGUCGCCCAAGCGGCAUGAAGCCCUACUCUAGGGACGGAUGGCUCAAAAAGAUGUGAACCCCCGAUCACUAAUAGCCUAGUAUCUGAGCCCCAGAUGACAUAUCCAAACCUUCUCUGCCAUCUUCAAUAUUGUCAUCAAAGUUGACCUUAACAAAUUCUGAAGAAAGGAGCUUCUAGAAAAUCAACAGUACCUUUUGGAUCGCUAUAAGUAUAGCAAAGGAGUCCCAAAAAUUUAGGGUGAUAAGAUUCAAGCCAGUAGUGUUGAAGUGGAGGUACUCCGUAGCUAAGCAACAGGCUCUCUCAAACACUUGAUAUGAGGUACAACCUCGACAUUAAAAAUCAGACUGCUUCUGAACAACCAAAUUUGAUAAGCGAUAUACACCAUAGUCAAAUCUAAUAAGUGACAUAAGCUAUAGAUUAUUUCAAAUGGUAUCAAAUUGAACUAGACUUAUAGCUUAUGUGGAUUAGGGGACACUGCAGCAUGGAUCUAUUUGAGCUGACCAUGAAAUUAUAGUAUCCAUGAUUAGAUUUAUAACACUUAUGAUUGGAUUUGAAUAAGUUUGAACCUUUAGCUAGGCUUAAAAUGAAGGGAGUAUUUGAGGACCUAUGUCAGCAUGAGCCUAUUUGAGUUGAGCAUGAGCUGAUAAGCCUUUGUGAUUGGAUUUCUGAUAUUUAUAAUUGAAUUUGAAUGGAUUUAGACUCUUAGUCUAGUGAGGAUACUAGGACUUAAAACAAGAGAGUAUCUGAGGACCUAUGUAGACGUAUGUUUAAUCUCAUAAUUGCUAUGCACUAGAUAGAUAUUAGAUGCUUGUAUAGAACCAAAUAAUUCAUAAAAUACGUUUCAACUAACUUUUUUAGAUGAGAUCUUGGGUUGUUACAUGAUAUACUAAUUGAUACAAGGAACUCAAACUCAAAAGAAUCAUUUGGCAUCAUAAUGGUAUACAUUAUAGUGUAUAUCAAUACAACUAAUCAAUUUAUUUACUUAACAUUUAUAAGUUAGAUAUUGUAGGUUCUUCUUAAAAGGAUAAAUAUCAUUGAGAAUAAAAUAUCAAACUUUUUUUUUUCUUUUUGGAGUUUCAUUUGGCAUAUGUUCUCAAAAUUUAACUAGUAAAUAUAAAGAAAAAAAUAAAAGUAUUCACUUAUACAUUUUAGUCAAAAGAAAAAGCUUAAUUAUUUUAAAAAUCUCAAAUUUUUUAAGAAUUUUUAUUUUUAUUCUAAACUUUAAUUCGUUGCAAUCAGAUUAUUAAACUUUUAAAAUAUUAUAAUUUCUUCCUUGACUAUUAUUUUCGUCUAAAAAUCGUGAUGAAAAUAAUCAUAUACCAUCACAUAACACUUAGUGGAAACUUAUGUGACAUAAAAUUAGCUGACAUAAAAUCCUAAGCUCCUUCUCUCUUUUCCUCCUCUUCUGGCUGGGGUCUAAACUCCUUUUUUUUCUUUUUCUCCUCUUCUAACUUGGCUUUACUCUUUCUUCUCCCUUUUUCUUCUCUUCUAGCUAGAAUUUAUACUUCUCAAUUUUCUCCAUUUUCAUCCACCCUUAUCUUCUCCAAAACCAGUACCAUUUGUACCUCAUAUUCUAGAUGUUUAGGAAGGAGACAAGCACGUAGGCUUAGCAUGGUUGAAGGAGUUUCAUAACUUCGAUAGACUAUUAUGUAAGAGAGAUUUAUCUUCAUAGCAUAUACUCUAUGAAAAUGGCUUGCUUCUCAAGGAUCAUGGGGGGCACCAUGAUGGACUUGAUGGUAGCGGCGGAGGCAGUUCUGGUGGUGGUGGUGGUCAUGAUGGAGACUUUGAAGUUGAUGAUGGUAGAGGUAGAGGUAUCGAUAAUGGUAUAGAAGGUAGUUGGAUUUUAGAGGAGGUAAUGAUAAAGUAGAAAGUAGAAACCCUAGCUAGAAGGAGAAAAGGAUGAAGAAAGAGUUUAGAAAGAUUUAAUAUCAGCUAUUUAAUAUCAUAUCAGCUUCCACUACAUGUCAUGUGAUAGCACGUGACCAUUUCCAUCAUGGCCAUUAGAUGGAAGUAGUAGUUAGGAAGAAAUUGCAAUAUUCUAAAAGUUUGAUGAUCUAAUUAUAAUGAAUCAAAAUUCAGGAUAAAAAUAAAAAUUUCUAAAAAAUUUAAGAUUUUUAAAGUAAUUAAGCCAAAAAAAAAGAUAUUGAAAAGAGAAAGCUAAGAAUUUAAUAAAAAGAACAUAUUGGUGAUAUGAUUUAUAAAUUUCUUAUUAGAAAUAAAAUAAUCAUACAAGAAAACCAUCAACUUAUAUUAAGCAUCUAUGAAACAAGUGCGUUGACUUUUGACAAACAAUUCAAUGGAAGUAUUGAACUUGGAAUAUAUUAAUGUAGCAAGAGAGAAUUAACAAUAGAUAUGUAAAUAAAGAAGGAAUUUCCCAAGUAACAGAAGACAAAAAAGAAUGAUUGUGAGGCUCUACUUGAAUAUGUUGUGGUGAAGCAUCCACUCUAUUGCAUGCUUCUAAAAGGAUGAUGCCAAUUAAAUUUUAAAUUAAAAUAUUUACAAAUAAUUCUUCUAAUAUAGAACUUCGAAAAGAAUCAAGUAUAUUAUAAAAACACAAAUAUUGAAAAGGAAUGAGUGGACCCAUUUAUAUGGAAAUUCUUGAACACAUUCUAGUUGUAUAGUAUAACAAGAAUAGAGAAACUAUUGGACAUAACCAUGGUAAUAUGUCAGUGAAUUAUGUAAUUAUUAGGACAAAUUAUACAUAUUUUUCAAAUUAUUUAAUUUUUUAAAAGAUUAAUUUACUAUAAUAAGAAAUUUGUACAAAAUAUUACACUAAACACAAUCUCAAAAAGCAUAUGAGUUUCUUGCAUUUGUACCCUUCUAAAUAUUGAAAUUUGUAUGAAUACUCUCCAAAAUUGAUAUGUACACCUUUAUAAAACACUGGUUUUGUGCAUAUACCCUUCUUUUUCUUUUUUUUGAUAUAUACACAUAGCAUCUAAUAACGUUAAUAAAUUAGCAAUUUAAAAUUGAAAUAGCUCAAAUACCCUCAAUAGAUAGACAUACAAAAGGAAAUAUUUAUAAAGGUAUACAUGAAAAUAAAUUUUUUUUGAGGAUGUUCAUACAAUUCAUACAUUUAGGAGGGUUUCUGUACAAUUUUUUUUAAAAUUUUAUCUAUUUCAACUUAUUUUAAUACUUAAAUUAGUCUAAUACCUGCUCCUCAAUAUUUUGUGUGAAAAUAUUACUCAAAAAAAUGAUAGAUUCGAUAAUUAGAUAAUAAGAAGAGUUAUGAAAAUUUCAUUCAUUAAUUAUGAGAUUAUUUUACUUUAUUAUUCUUCACUUAUAACAACUGUUAUAUCCCAUUUUAUUGAAAACUGGCUUGUAAUAUAUAUUAUUAUAGAUACAAGGCUAAGCAUUAGAAUAUCAAAAGAAAGUAGAAUCUCUUAAAAACAUAUAAUAAAUUGCAACAAUGAUCGAGCUUCCUUGCUAAAGCUAUGCUCAUGGAUGGAAGAACAAUAUCAAUCAUUCUCAAGCAAAAUUAUUAAAAGACUUCAGAAUCCUUCAAACUUACUAACAAUUUCCACGGCCAUAUGGUAGAAUGCCAUCCCUUAUUUGUGUAUCUAAGUCAUUUUUCAUUGGAGUUUCGAUUUCUUGAAAGAAAAUAAGACCUGCUGUAUAGGAUCUAUUUUGUCAUAACGAUUUUAAAUUUGCCACCUACCUACACAUGAGAAGUUUUCUAACUCUAAAAGAUAAAUAUUACAAAUUUGAUAUACUAAGUGAUAAAUAUUGUAAAUCUUUCGCAACACUUCCCUUUAAAAAGUAGGACAUGACUAUCUUCAUGUAAUAUAUAUAUAUAUAUAUAUAAGGGGGCAUCAGAGGGGAAGAGUCGACCGCCAACGCCAUCGCCACCACAACACCGAACAUGUCCAGCACAAGGCCGAAGAAGAAGCUACAACCCACAUGUUCGGCGAUGGCAUCAGAGGAGAAGAGUCCACUACAAAGUAGAGGAAGAGGCUACAACCCACAUGUCUGGUGGAGGUGGCAGCAUCGCAGUAGUUCUGUACUACCUAAUCGUAGCAGCAGAUCUACGUUUGAUGGAGGUGGCAGCAUCGUAGUAGUUCCGUACUACCUAACCGUAGCAGCAGACCCACUACUCUGUGGCGUCGGCGCGAUAGGGGCAAGCCUUGCCUACUCUCGAUCAUCGGAUUCUUCUUGACCUUUUUCUUUAACAUUCUUGGUUCAAGAUUUUGUGUUUUUAAUAUUUUCAUCUCUUUUCAUUUUUUCUUACUAACAUAGAUAAAUAAAAUUAAAUAUUAUUUUAAAAAAUCACAUCUCAUGCAUCGUAUGGGAUAAUAAGCUAGUGAUAUAAUGAAAAGAAAGUUGCAUAUAAGUUCAAUAAAACCAUUACCCGCUUCAUAGGUAAAACAAUAGUUUCCUAAUUUGAAUUAAUUUUUAAUUUAACUAAAUUUAAUUUUGGCUAAUGAUGUUAGUUGAAUCAUUAUGUCAAACAUAUUCAUAAAAAAAAGUGUUUUAUUAGGGCAUGCAUGCAAAUAUGAAUUUGGAGGGUGUCCAUGCAAAUUUCAGUAUUUAUGAGGAUUUUUAUACAAAAAUUCAAGGAUUUUUUUAUGUGCACAUCUUUCUACAUAUAUGAAAUUAAACAUAUAUCUUUGCAAAAUUAUUAUUUAUAUAUAUUUUNNNNNNNNNNNNNNNNNNNNNNNNNNNNNNNNNNNNNNNNNNNNNNNNNNNNNNNNNNNNNNNNNNNNNNNNNNNNNNNNNNNNNNNUUUUUUUAUGUGCACAUCUUUCUACAUAUAUGAAAUUAAACAUAUAUCUUUGCAAAAUUAUUAUUUAUAUAUAUUUUUAUAAAUAUUUUUUUUAUAUGUUUAUCCAUUAAGGAUACUUCUGUCAUUUCAAUUCUAAACUGCCAACUUCUUAGUGGCAUUAAAUAGUAUGGGUAUAUAUAUAAAAAAGAAGGAUAUAUAUAUAAAAUAUGUAUUUUAUGAGAGUAUAAAUAUAAAUAUCUAUUUUAAAAGAUAUUUAUGAAAAUUUUAAUAUUUAAGAGGGUAUGUAUGUAAAAAUAUCUUAUAAUAUUGACAGAAGACAUCUUUAAUUAUUUUAUAUUUAUUUCUAUAUGAGAGCAUGUCAAAAUAAUGAUAAUAUUGUAUUUACAUGAAACAUGGUUGGCCACUCAUAUCUUAUUCUCAACCUAGAUAAUAUAACAAAAAAACAUGAUAGCAAUAAUUCAACAUUUUUUAUUUGAUAUAUUGAUUAUAAAAAAUAUUUAAAAAAAUGAAAGAGAGAGAAUGUCUUUUAUCAAACUACUUACUAUCUUGAAUUAUUUAUUAAAUUCUCAGUUUCUUCUGGCAUUCUAAAAGAUAAUAAUAGUUAUGCACUACUUUGUAUAUAAUUCGAGAAAAAAUGUGUGAAAUUGAAUAAGAAAAGCAUACAUCAUCCGAUUUUAAAUUAAAGCAAAGUUGAUGAUCAUAACAUUAUUAUGUUUGCACCAUGCAUAAAACAUGGUAUAGUUUUGAUUUAUAUGCACAAAUUCAAUUUGCUUUUCUACCAUAUUAUUCCAAAUGAGCCCAUCCUUAAGCUUAACCAAUAAGACAAGGUCCAUAAUGGGGCGGGAAUCAGUCCAUAGUCACAAGUUUGGUGUUUAAGAAUUAUCCAAUAAGAUUAAGAAAUUCGGUAUUCAGGAAAAAUUUGGCAAAAAUCGAUAGAAUUAAAAUAAUAUUAUAACAUAUAUUUAUACAUGUAUAUGAUAUCAUACAUAUUGUAUCAUAUAACAUAUAAUUUAUCUUAAUUUAAAUAAUAGAAGAUUUUUUUUAGAAGAAUAGAAGCGCACAGGAAAAGUGAAGGUUGAAAGAGUAAGAAGCCUCGUAUAAAUUUAUGUAAAAUUAUAUUUUAACUCCAACAAGUCUCCCAGCUGUUUCUCUUUGACCACGUAGUGGGGUAGUCAAGGCCCUUUCCAAAGCGGGUAUUAGCUCAAAUGAAUAAUUUGAAGAUUCGAGAUCUAUUUGUGAUUAUCACAAAUUUAAUGAUAUAUUUGCAAAUUAUUAGUGAUACAUUGGAAAUUGAUGAAUUAUCCACGGAAUUAUUCGGCUUGGAACUACGAAUAAUUCAUGAAGUUUCAAGAUUUUGGCAAAUUUUCUGACCAUGUACUAAACCAUUAGGUUAAGUCGGUUGGUAAAAACACAGCAACCUCUUGCGCGCAAAAGUUACAUACAAAACUCUGAACUAGCAAAAUGUUCUAAGAAAGUAAUGCACAAAGAUUGGACUUUGGAUGCAAAGAUUGGACUUUGGAUGCCUGAUGUUAAUAAGAGACCAAAGAAGCACUUAGUUGUAGUUUAUGGCUAUUACCGCAUCAUUGUGUAGUGUGAAUAGGAUGUUGUUUGAGGUUGUUGUUGGUAACAGAGUUUUUGAAAUUUUUGGAAGUAGAAUUUUUGAGUAGUAAAAUUUUUAGUAGUAAAAUUUUUAUAAAAAAUUAUUUGUUGUUUGGUAUCUAUAUUUAUAAAAUAUUUUGAAACUUGGAUAUAUAUUUGGGAAUUAAGAUAAAAAAUACUUUUGGUAUUACAAAAUGACAAUAACAGACAUUGCAUAAUAUUGUAUAAUAGAGAAUAAUAUAACAUAAUAUAAUAUAAUACAAUAUAUAUUAUAUAUUAAAAUAUUAUUAUAUUAUAUAAUAUUAUUGUAAUUAUGAUGUAAUAUAUAAUGUAAUAUAAUAUAAUGGAUUACAGUCUAAUCUAAUAAUAAAUUAUAAUAUAACAGAUUAUAUUAUAUUAUUAUAAUAUAAUAAUAUUAUAUUUUUAAUAAAUAUUGUUAUAUUAUAUUUUAAUAAUAUAAUAAUAGAUUAUAUUAUAUAUUCAUAAUAUAUUAUAAUAAUAUAAUAAUAUAAUAUGAUUUGAUUAUGAGAUUUAUUUGUGGGUAUUUCAGUCAUUAAAAAAAAUUAUUUAAAUCAAAACAGUCUCUCGAUAUUAGCUAGAAAGUAUUUUUGAAGAAAGUUUAAAAAUAGGAUUUUCUUCAAUUAGAUAUUUUUAGUUUUUUGAUAAAAUUUUUUUAAAAGUUAGACAAUACUUUCUGAUGUUCUUAAAGCUUAACCAAAUUGGAUAUUUCUGAUAAGGUAGCUGUCUGGCCAACCAUUCGAGUUCAGCUGGGCCCAAGCAGUAAUAAAAGGAGUCUCCAGACCGGGCCGUGCUCCAGGAACUUAUCCAGGCCAACAUCAGGAGGAGCCCAUGAAUGUCCAGAGUCUCUCUAUAUAAUGCCAACCAACGCUCCUUCACCCUCGCAGUGCAAACCCUAAACCCUAAUCUCGCCUCCAGUUCCCUACUCCACAACGCUCCCCCCUCCUCUCUCACCCCCGGGCGAGGUUUUCCGUCUUGUACGUAGUUCCUCCCCUAUUUUCUGGAUUGCUCAUCUUUUCUCCUUAUUUGCUUCCCUCGAAUCCAGGCUUUUCCCCUUGUUUUGGUUAUUUUGGGCAUCAUUCAGUAUUGAUGUGAGCAUCCAUAUGUAUGUAUGUUGAAGUAACAUCGAUGAUGGUUUUAAAUACUCUGAGUUUGCGAUUUCAGCGAAAAGGAACGAAAUGAUGUAUGUAUGUAUGUAUUGAUUAAUAGCUUUUUUUCUUUUUUUUGUUGUUUUUAACUUUCUGCAUGAAGACUUCCGGAAUUAUUAAAUGGGCCGCUGGAGGAGUUGGUCAUGGACAUUUUAGCGUGGGAUCAAGGCAUUAGAUCUUACCCAACAACGCAAGUAUGCUUUGUUUUGUAGAUUGUUCAUCUCCUCCCAUUAAAAGAUGGGAACUUGGAAUGGUUUUAGGCUCUGAUUUGUGGUUAGAGUUGUGGUAGAAGUGUACGAUUAACUGAUAUUUUUUGCCUGUUAGAAAAAAAAAAAAGGAACUUGUGGCAUUUCUAGCUCGAAAGUGGCUCUAGGUCGCAGUGCAAGUGAUGAGAAAACAGACAAGGACAUCAGUACUCCUAUCUCUGGAGAGUGAUGACUUGGUCUAAUGGGAAUCUCUCUGAUGCACAAAUUCCCUUCCGAUCUGCACCUCUUUUUCGAUGCAUCCCUUCCGAUCUGCACCUCUUUUUUCGGGUGAUUAUAUGUAUAGUUGUUUGCAGUUAGAAUUCUAUUGUUCUUUUUUUCUUUUCUUUUUUUUUUAAUUUUUAAAUUUUAAGACUCGUCUGCUGGUGAUGCAACAUAUGCACGUAUUAUCGGAUACAAAAUGACGAUGUAUGUAUAGUUGUUUGCAGUUAGAAUUCUAUUGUUCUUUUUUUUUUUUUUUUAAAUUUUUAAAUUUUAAGACUCGUCUGCUGGUGAUGCAAAAUAUGCACGUAUUAUCGGAUACAAAAUGACGAUGUUUUAAUAUUGUCACUACCACUGAGGCAGACUCAUUUUCUUGGUGUAUCUAUUGUAAUUCAUUGGGUUCUGAGUUUUGCAUGUUAAUUGAUGAAUGAUGUAUUACUUUAUAUAUCUAUUACUUGGAAGAAGACAUAUCUUUGUUUUUUUAUAAAGUAUUCAUAGCUAUUAUGUUCUUUAUUAUUUUUUCUUAAUUUCAUCAUUGCAUACUGAUACAACUGAUUCUUCAAAUCAAGGUUAAGGUCUGUUUUUUGUAUUCUGUGAGUGAGCAAUUCAUUAUGCUUACAUAUUAUUACUUGCUGCUUCCAUCAUGCCAUCUCAUUGAAGUCAUAAAAAAUGGUGUUCAGAACAUUAUUCAAAGAUGUGUAUUUCAAUUUUUUGGUUGAACCUCAGCAGGAAAUGAUCCCAGAACAGGCAUCGAUCCGUGAUAUUGAACCCCUGACCUCUGGGCAAUGAGGGUAGUGGUGUUACCAUCUGAGCUAAAGCUUGGUGGUUGUAUGUUUUGGAUUUAGAAGUAAAGAGGAUGCUAGACUGGUACAUUGUUGUGAAAUAAUCUGAUUUUAUUUCUUUUUGACUUUGCAAACUUAAUAUGCAACUUUUUCUUUUUGAAUAAUUUCUUAUUCCUGCUAGACCUUCUUAUGUUCAGUAUGAUCAUUUUGUUCAUAUGUUCAUUUUCUUCAGGAAAUUGUUGCAUUUUAUUUUUUAAAAAAUUUGAUUAUUAGAUACAAAAAAAUAUACCCUAUUUGAGAUUAUGCAGAAUCUUCUUAUUUUUGUUCAUAUAUCUUAUUUUUCCUCUUAUUUUCUGUGUUACCAAGUUGUAAUUUUAUAUUUUGAUGUAUAAUUUGAUUAUAUCAAAUUCCUGUGGUGGUCUUAAAUAUGUUUUGAAACUUGAGCUUGAACCUUCCCCUCCUUUACACCCCAAAUCGGGGGUACAAAAAAAUUGAGUGAGGGGUACGGAGGGGUUGAGAGAACUCUUCUCUACCCUCCUUUACCUCUCAAAAAGUUUUACCAAAGGGGUUCAUUUUUACCCUCCCCUCCUCUUAUGAACCCCCAUGUACCCCCAAUCCAAACAGGUUAUAAGUCUCUUGUUCUCUACAUUAAAGGCUCGUUAACCAAGCACUCUAUAAAUUUCUAAACAUAAUGAUCAGCUAGCAUGCCUUUUUUAUCUAUUUUUGCUGCUAUGUCACUUUUUUUACAUAUUAUAUAUUUCAUGAUAUUGGUGUUUUCUUUUACCCCAGCAUGUCUACCUCUUACUUCGCUCUUCUUUAAAUUUUUAAUUCCUCUACUUCUCAUCCAUUUUUGUUGCUCUGUCAAUUUUUCAUUUAUGUUUUUCAAAUAUGGAUAGAAAUGUUUACUUUGAUUUGAUUUUUUUGAUGAAAGAAUCAUCCAUGGCAUAUGUCGCUGCAUCAGCACUUGUUGUUUAUUUUAUUCUUUUCAUUACUUCAAAAUUCUCACACAGAUUAAAUGUCCUACUGAACUCGAUAAGGUCAUGUUGGUUUUAGCUUUUCUCCCUUUUUUUAAAAAAAUUUUAAUGAGACACUUGUAAACUUGAAAUAGUUAAUAUGAUUGGAGAUACUUGCAGAACCUUUGGGCUGAUCUGCCAAUGAUGUGUAUUGCACAUAUUUCCGGAUUCAGGAUGAUGAUGCAUAGAUUGUCACUACCACAGAGGCAGUGUCCAUUAAUAGCCCUUUUUUUAUUCAGAUUUGUAUUUGUUUUAUGUGGUUUUGAAUGAAAUGGAAUAUAUCUUCAAAUGAUUUUAGAUGAUUAGAAGUUUUCUAUUGUUUAACCAUCCACCAGUGUAGUCAAACUUUUAUCAAUGCAUCAUUCAUAUUUAACAAUACACAGCUUAUGGAAAUUUGGUAUACAGACUUACCCCACUCCUUUUGACAGCGUACUUAGUUACCAAGCUUUUUCUAUAUUAUGCCCUUAUUAAGCGAUAUAUAACUUUCUUGGCUUUUCAUAUAUGAACUUGUAUUUUUUUUCUUUUGAGCUUAUUAUGUUGCUACAUACUAGUGUUGAUUGGUUUGCCCGAAUUUGAAUUGAAAAGGACUCAUUUAUGUCUUUGGAAAGGAGCAAGCUUUUAAUAUGAUAGCUAUGAUCUUUUCACAUCACCAUAGACUUUUCCUCUAUUUAACAUCAAAAUGAUUUUUGUAUUCUAAUGAUGCUUUUUACUGUUUUAUCUUAAUUUGGUUUAAGUUGCAAAUGAUGAUAAAACAGACAGGGACAUCUGCACUCAUAUUGGGGUUGAUGAUUGGGUCUUGGGAAUCAAGUUUUAUCUGUCUGAUGCAACAAUCUUUUUUUUUUUAAUAUUUUAUUUUAAAUUUUAAAGUUUAUAUGCUGAUUUUAUCUUGAUCUUGGAUGUUUUGAUCAAGUGUGAAGUUACACUAAAUCGAUCUGGGUUACCUUACGCACAUAUUGCCUGCAGGCUGCUGUUUUGUUUUCUAUUCGCCUUUUUUCCUUGAAGGAGGUGUUUGGUUGGGGAGAGUUGGGGCUUGGAAUGAGAGUAAGGAUGGGUGACUCCCGUUCCAACCAAAUGGAGGGUUUCAUUUUGAUUCCGAUUUCAGGGUGGAAUGGGAAUAGCUCAAUCCCUUGAAACCCAAUCCCGACUCUUCCCAAGGAUUCAAAUCUCGAUUCCGAUUCCGAUUCUAGUUACUGCUUGGGGGAUAUGGCCAUUUCGAUUCCUAUUCCAAUCCAUUUUAAUUCUGAUUCUGGUUACAAACCGUUCACCCCUGUAAUAAAAUGCUGCAUCCUGUUGUCUUGCUUUUGACCACUGAUGUUUAUUCUAUUCAUUUUUUAAAGGUUUAGGGUGCCCUUCUUUUGAUACUAGUGCCUAUGAUGGUUAUAAAUAUACUUUGAGUAAUUACUAUGAAAAGACAUCAAUCUGAGGCACACUUUUCUUUAUUGUCCAGUCUUAAUUUUCUUUUUGCAGUGCAGAUAUCUGUGCAGUUUGUUCUUUUGAAAUAGUUAAUGGUCUGAUAUUGCUAAAAUUUAUUUCUCUUUCUAGUGGGUUUUCUAUUCCGAUAGUUUUUGUUGUUUCUAUGUAGUCUUACAUGAGUGCGUUAUUCAUUGUUUUAUUAAAUUGUAUGUCUGUUCCUUAUCAGUCUUGUUUCUAUGAGGAUUAAUCGCCAUUUUUUAGGGGGGGAUGGGGUAUGAUGCAGACAGUUGCCAUAGGAGUUUCAAAGUCAUCUCAAUUUUUCACACGUGAAGUUCAAAUUGUGUGGUCAUGUGUUGAAGUAUUUUUGCAUAUAUCUUAGUGCAAGCCUGAUAAUUGAUUUUUAGGAGAACGGAAAUCUGAAUCACUCUGUGUUGAAGUCUGACAAGUUUGGGCUCCAGGGGGAACUGUGUGGAUUGCUCUAUAGCAUUUGAAGGCAAGCAUGGUUGUGCGUAUUUGCCUAUUUGGUUCUUUCAUAUGUUUCUGCAUUUGAAUGAACCUAAUUUAUUUUUAUUUUUCCUCACUUGAAUUUUCUUCCGUAGUAAUUUGAUUUGGGAGUGAAGUCAUUGCAAGUCCCUUGAAAUGAUCAGCAUGCUCUUAAAUUAUUGGUUGAUCUCUUAGGAACAUUAUAUUAGGUUUAUAUAAAUUCUGGAUUCUGCUUUUACUGGUUUAUGUUGGUGGUUUACAAAGGGUACCGCCCUCUGAAUUCCUAUUCAAGUGGGGAAGAGUCUUGAUUGAAACUGGGAGCUCUUCACGAGCAACUUAUAGAUGUGCUUCAUAGUUCAUUCUCUUGUCCUGAAUCUUCACUGUAUGUGAUUGAUUUAAGAUAGCCUCGGGUCAAUAAUUCCGACGCUAUCUUUGAAAGGUAUGCUGAACGUCUUUCAUGCAUUUUAGGUUGUUUAGCUUGGAAAAUGAGGUUUCAAUAUAAUUCUGGAACGAUUAUUGUUUACUCCUUCAGCCUUUGAAGCUUUUUUCCUUUUUCCUCUCUUGGAAGAAUGGAGAGGCGAGGAUCGGUUAGUUUUCCCCACCGUGCUUUACUAGGACAUAGAGAAAUCAUAUAAGAGGCUGAGGACCAAGAAAAUGAGAUGUGAAUGAGAUGCUGGCACAUCUCAACAGAACGAAACAUCGCAUGAGUUUGACUUGGUUUCGUUCUGGAGCAUAGAUGACACCAUAGUUUAAAUAGCCUGAAAACAGUUAAUCUCAUAUCUAUUUUCAGCCUCCUUUUGGACGCUAGGAAGCUAUUGAUGCACAACCUUCUUUUAAAUUGCCUGUUACAACUGUUAGGUGGUUUCCCGUCCCACUGGAGUGCUGAAGAUAAAUUUUGACGUGUCUGUUGUGGCUGCCAAAUCUGCAGCAGCCUCUGUUAUUAGAAACCAUUAAGGGCAGCUGGUUAGAGUUGGAGGCAAGUUAUUGCCACCCCUUUAGUGCUCGUUGCUGAAUUGGUUGUGGCCUGGUUGGGGUUGCGGGUGGAUGUUAUAGAGUUACAGGCACAACAGAUAUGGGUAGAGGUUUAUUCUAAAACUGUUAUCAAAUGACUCACCGACUCUGCAUUGAACCACUACACAGACAACCUCAUCUUGAUGGAUCUUAUGGCAUGUAAGAUCAUCAGUCAAGUGUUUGCAGCAUUUCAUAUUUACCGCGAAGCAAACCGCACUGCAGAUUUCUUGGCAGACAGUGCAGGGCAGGGACAUGUCUCCUUUCAAUCGUCUGCCCACUUAGUGCGGGAAUUUGCAGCAAAUUUGCGGGCGGAUGAGAUGGGUUUUGCCUUGAAAGAUGAGGGAAGUAUGCCUGCAGGCUUUCUGGAUCUUAAGCCAGUUUUUGUUUUACUUAAUGUGUGAUUGUCUGAUGUCUGUUUGGACACAGUAUUUGUGGUUGGUUUCUUUGUGAGUUUUCAAAUGGGUAGUCAGCUAGUUUGUAUUCAGAUCUAUUCCAAACUGUUUUGUACCUUGUUUAACUUUGGCAGCUCUCCUCUCUUGUAACCAAAAGAAAAAAAGAAAAGGGAGAGCCUCAGCAAUUGCUAACAAAAGUUUGCCGACCUUAUUCUGGUUCGGCCUUUGCACUACUACUUCAAAAUUCUCAAGUGUUUAGAUGUGAAAAACAAGGGGUUAGUGGCAUAUUUAUUUCUCCAGACUUUGAAUUUGAAUGUUGGCUAGCAGAUAACUCAAGGAGCCAAGGAGCAUCUUGGGCGUUUGGUAAAUGAACUCCGAAGUGUGCCGACCUUGAAUCAUGCUAAUUUUUUGCAUUGAGAAAUAGAACUUUGUGGUUCUUUUAACCUUACUCAAACGUGCUAAAGAGGUGCCAUUGUUUAAUUUAUGGGCCACUCAAUAUUUGUAUCAAUCAAUUAAUCUGUUUAAUUUUUUUUAAAAUUUUCAAAUAAACAAGGGCUAAAUACCAUUUCGACUUCUUCCAAGGGUUAGAAGUAUAAAUUAUCCUUUUAUGAGAUCUAUACGUCUUUAAACGUAAUCUGAACCCUUCAUAUCUUCUUAAAAAUAUCUUGACCCUGGAUUCAUGAAUAGGUGUUUUUAUCGUUUCACUGGUUCAACCAGUAUCUCCAUGUUUGUCAUCAUCCUUUAAUGAUGCCUCUCCUAGGAUUUUAGGCUAAUUUUUUUAUAUAACUUUACAAGGUUAUUUUCAAAGUAAUGGGCAUCAGACUGAGCUGACCAGUUGAGCUAUCAGGAUGGAUGAAGUUGACUAAGAAAGUGCCAUUUCCAUUUAUAACAAAAGUCAUUACCAUUUAAUGAUCUUUUUUUUUUUUCACGAGGUAUUCAUUAAUAUACUAUUAACUUAUUUAUCAUCUAUAUAAUAAUAUUCUCGAUCAUGUUGUUGUGAAUUUUAAUUUUAAGGCUUAUAUGUUUAUUAAUAUCCAUGCUUUCAAUAUCUGUUUUGUAUCCAUAUUCAUUUAUGAAUUUGUGCAUCAAUCAGUAUUCAUAUUCAUAUAUGUACUCAUACAAUAAAACAAAUAUAUAUAUGAAUAUAAUGAUCGGUAUCGGGCCAAUUUUAACCCUAAUCUGCACCUUAUUCUUAUGGUCGCCUAAUUGGUUGAUCUUUUUUCAGUCCGGUGCUGCUGUCAUCUCCUUUACCAUCUUUUGCUGCCUUGGGCCCUUGGCGUCUAUCUUCUCCUUUUUGUCGGCAUCGCUUUGUGCCUUUUGAGUCAUGAGUGCGCCCGCUAGCUCCAUCAUGCCUACCAUCAUCUUGCAAGUUUCCUUUCCAUUGUUAUAACCCAUACAGUCCCCUUCUGUUUUACCAAAGUGCUUCAUUUGCCUCCAUCAUUGUCCCACUUACGUCCUACAACUCAAACUUCCUGUCCUCGUGCACAGAGAUAACAAAAAACUACAACACUUACAAUGAUGACAUAUAAAAGGUCAUACAUAGAGGCCUGUGGCAUCUCCACUUACCUAGAGUAUGCAUCUCCGACGAGUGCUUGGUCGCGGAGCAAGAAGCUAGCGAGGAUUUUAGUCAUUCAAACACAAAGUAUGAAGAACUUAUAAAAGAUAUAUGUACUGAAACUAAACCUAUUUGAAGAUACAUCUUCUGUCUUAUAUAAGAGCGGCAACUGUAGAUCUCACCUCUAAGCUUAAUACUUGCCCUUAGAAUGUAGGAACUGAUAAGAUAUUAUUUUAUUUUUGGUUUAGGACCUGGGAGGUCGGGAGGAAGAGGGGAAGGGUAGGGACAAAUCGAGGGAGCUGGAUCUUUGAGAAGGAGCAGGUGUUGGGGCUGUCAGGAAAUCCAAGGAGAAAAGAGCCGAGCUAAUGGAUUACCCGUUAGUUUCCUUCACUUCUAUGUAUUGAGAUUUACAAAAUAUGUGAUGUCGCAUUUCCAGAGCCUCUCUAUGUGAUAUGAUAUGUAUGACACUGCAUAAAACUUUUAUUAACAGAGUGAACCGCUCCAAGCAGGACAUAUUUAUCCUGGGCAGAAGCAGUCGUCUUUUCUAGAUAAUUUAAUUGUCAAGAAAAAAAGCUUGACUCGAUUGUAGUUUGCAGUAGUUUCCAACAAGAGGUGGGCUGGGGAUACCACAUGGGACAACAUCAAAUUGAGGGAAGAUAUAUUUUAUGCGGAGCUAUGUGGCCGAAAGAGAAGUCUACAUGCCUAACAAAAGGUGGCAGCUAAAAAAAAGGAGGCUGUGUUCAGGAGAGGUUAACCCACAUCCUGUAACUUUUUUCAUGUCCAGCCAUAGGCCGUAUUCACGAGGUCCUCACUCUCUCUCUCUCUCUCUCUCUGGUACACACAGAGAUCCAUUUCAGAAUUCAGAAGAUUUGAAGGAUAAAAAACAGUGGGUAAAUAUUGACCCAUCAUCCUCUUUCUGCCAGAGGCCAGGGGAUGAGCUGUGGGCUGUUGGAGUUUGGUUUGGAAAAGCAACAUAGCUUUUCCAGAUCCUUCCACAAAGCCCCCAUUUUUUUUUUUAAUCCCACUUUCUUGGCUCUCGAGGUCCUUGGAAGUUUUCCAAAAUGGUUUCUCAAAUCCAUGGAAGUCUCAAUGCAACUCUAUUCUAAUCACUUGUGAUGGUUGAGAUAAAGCUUGUCGGUUCAUGUUCCUUUUGUUUUGUUUUUUCUUCCCAGUAAAAAGGUUCAAUUUCCUUUGUUAUCUUCUAGUUCUUGAUACUUAUGAUUAAUCUAACUCGAGAAUACUGAGGACAUGCUCAUAAAAGCACUUUUAUCAUUGCAAAAAUGAGAUGAGAGAGCUCAUGUCCAAACCAAUCCUGGGAUGGAAAGCAAGUGCUGGUAAAAUUUCAUUACUGAUAGUUUUGCAGGUAGAAAGAGAUAGAUUGAUAACAAGUGCUUAAGGGGUUUAUGCUCAUUAUCCUCUUUCCCUGUUAUGGUAAUAGGACAAUCCGGUAGAUGUUUGAUACAGUGCAGGUGCACCAACCCAGCACAAUCAGUCUCAGGGACAAUCCUAGUGUGACUAAGAUUGGUGCAAAGUAGUGGCGAGCUGCUUUUUGUUCUUUUUUUUUUUUUUUGGAGAUGCUGCAAUAUAAACAUUGCUGAUGUGGGAAAGUUUUCAUAGUAAGGGGUAAUAUUUGUUUAACUAAUUACUAGAGGCAAUCACUAUGUAAUUACUAAAAGCUUUCCAUAGACGAUAGCCACCCAAGUACAUGGUAGUCAGGGGUCACAAGAUUCAUGUCAUUAAGAAGUCUACUGAAGUCUGUAACAUAGGUUAUGGGGGCAUGUCCUUAGCCCCAGCCCUCCAUAGGUCUCUGCAACGAUGUCAUGGAAACCCGAAUCUUCUUUUUCUCCACUGGUCCAAAGGAAAGAGUUCUUUCUUUAUAAGGGCUUCCCAACCACCUCCCAAUGCCUUCCCACACCACCUUAUUCGUCCGCUCUUUUUGUGAAAGUUCUCCAACUCCAAUAGAAUCUCCUCCUACAUCUUCUAACAGUCUUCCACCUGCUCCUUAGAGCAAUGAUACCUUCAGUUGUUAAAAAGAGUAGUGGAUCCAUACCUUCCUAUGCCAUAUCCAGUGUUAGAUUCAUUCCUUUCUUGCUCUUGGGGAUUUAUUAUCCAAAGAUAUGGUAUGAUGGGCUUUGACUGUUGAUAGUCAUCUAAGGUCUUGCAUGUGGAGAUGAGGUCAUAUUGUGCAGCCAAGGAUGACUUGCCGGCAAUCUUUGUGCAUGGCCAUGUAGAUGGCUUCAUGCAACUUUAUCUUGUUUACAUCCAUUACACCGCAUAGGUAGCUCUACUUUUCUACUUACUUUUAUGAGGCUAGUGUCUAAGAUAUGGGUUUGGUCCCAUGAAGAAAUCCCGGCAAGUUGUUUUUGGCUACAUAUUUACCUCCUUUUCUCAUGCUAGACCUAUGAUGAAAGCUCAGAUUGAGGUUGUUUGAUGCUCUUGCUUAUGACUCAUGUGGCUUUAGAAUACUCAAUAUAACAUCCAUUCCAUGCACCAAGCACCUAUAUCCAGUGUGAAGGAGGUAUGUUAAUAUGUUAAACAAUCUACUUCUUGUUUGUUCCUGUAAAAAGCACUCCACUUCUCGUUACAUGUACAUUUAGAAUGAUGUUUGAACCACUCUAAAAGGUUCCUUGUAGAGGAACCUGCCUCCGAUUUUUGGUGGGUCUCGUUAUCAUUCCUCGCUGUAGAUGGAAUUAGGUCUUUCCUCUGCACAAAAAGAUAUGUAAUUAAAACCCUCUCUCCGUGUGUGUGAUUGCUAAACUGUAUUAUUCUACUAAUAAUAUCUCCUCUAAAUCAUGCUUAUUGUAUGUUUAUCCGUGUUGCAGAUAAGGGGAACCAUGAGGAGGAAAAAGAAAAAGAGGAGUACUCGUUAGCUGUCUUCUGCCUCUCUUUUCUUGCAUUUUUGGGCAGUGUUUCAGUACUGGUUAUCUACACUCACCACACGUCGCGAGGUUUCGAGCACCAAGGUACUGUACUGAAGUGAAAGCAAGUGUUCUGCAAGGUCGCAGCAAGCCAUCUACGCAUUCUGAAAGCGGCUUGUCCUAGUGAGCUUUAAUGUUUCCUCGGUCGAACUGUUCCAUCUCUCAGCUCUCACCAUAGCGACCUGUUUCCAUGAAUUAAUCGCACCCACAUGGUUACGGCCAAAACUGCAUUAAAUAUAUUGGGCCGCGUUCGGCAACUCACAGCAUUGUCCAUGGUAGCAGUAAUGAUCCAUGUUCCACCUUUUGAACUCAAAUCACAUCACAAUGUUAUUGACAUGCAGAAUCUAGCUUGCAUCAUCGGUUGUCUGCAGGGUUUUCAACACUUAAAAAGCCAAGUAAAAUCUUAAAGACAGAUAUGUGAUAAUCCCAUCCUUACAACCCGAUGUUUCAGCCCUUUCUCAUCAAACUGUGUUUGAAAAUGAAAGUUGCUCUCUGCUGGACUUAGAUAAAAAAAAAAAAGGAAAUCAAACAACACCUUCUGCUGGAUGCAUUUCUUGAAUCUUCAUCAGGAAAUGCAGUGGUAGAAUAAGUCGAAAAGCUUCAGCAAAAAAUUAAGGAGAUUGGUAGACUGGAUUUAGCAUCAGGACAAUGCUUACCCACGGGCUCAUAGGAUAUUUUGUAUUCUGAUUUUUUAGAUUAUAUUUACAUUAAAAUUGUAUUAUGAUUUUUUAGAUUAUACUUGUUAGGACUUGACGUCUCGAGAUUCAGUCCACAUUGAGUCUACAGCGAGGUUCGCAGCGAAAAACGGAGUCCAACGAGACCAAGAUCUCUCCAAACGGAACUCGGACGGAGAAGAUAUGAGCUUUUGAAAUCGGCACGAGAUCCGAAGCGGCGGAGGACCGUCGGCAGCCGGCGGAGAGGCGGCGCUGCGGCGGUGCGUGGCCCAAGUGGGGCCAACGUCCGGGACGUGCGACCCAGGCAUGCGGCCCGAUGGGCGGGCGGCCCAGCCGAGCGCGCGGUCCAACUCGUGCGAGGGCCCGCACGCGGGCGCGACCCAGGCCCAGGCGACCUGGGCCCUGUACCCCGAUCCACCAUGGAUCGGGCGAUCCAUGGCGGACCGCGUGGAUAUUUCUCACGCAUUUCUCACGAUCCACGGUACUAUUUCGUGGAUCGGAGCGUGAUCGAAGGGCCCAGAGACGUUCCGGUCUUGAUCCAACAGUCUGGGACUUGAUUUGGGUUGAUUAAGGACUCCUAAACCUAAUCUAAGUCAUGUUUAACCCUUUUAAAAGGAUCUAUGAUGCAGAGGAAAAUGGUGGUCUGGGUUUUUAGCUGAGGAAGCCGCAGACACCGUACGGAAGAAUCCGAGAGAAGAGCGAGAGGCGUGAGGCCACCGUGAGAGAAGGAGCAGGACUUCUGGACAGCGGACGCCAGUCACUUUAGGGGUUCAGGGGGUCUUCCAAGAGAAAGAGAGCUUUUGAGAGGAAAACUUCUAGAGAGAGAGAAUUGGGUGUACAAAGGUUGAGGAUGAGGUCUCCUUUUGUAAAAUUUUCUUUUUCAUAGUGAAGUUUGCAUGUCCCGUGAAGACGAGCCAUUUUGUGGUUGAUCCACAUAUUUUGAUUGUUUUGUUUUGUUUCUUCUUUCUUCCUGCUACAUCGCGUGAUACUGAAAAGGUCUUGAGAGGUGGUGUCUUGGCUAGACAUCCACCCAACAAGUGGUAUCAGAGCUAGGUUGGUAUAAGGACGCAGAUUGCAACGGUGGUGAGCAAGACUGAAGAUGGAGAAGACAGGAACAAUCAAGAUGGAGAUCAACAAGUUUGAUGGUAAGAGCAAUUUCUCCUUAUGGUAGGCAAGGGUGAAGGACGUGCUCAUCCAACAGGGGUUGAUCGAUGCUCUCUUGUACGAUGAGAAGCCGACACCAUAGAGGUGCGGGNNNNNNNNNNNNNNNNNNNNNNNNNNNNNNNNNNNNNNNNNNNNNNNNNNNNNNNNNNNNNNNNNNNNNNNNNNNNNNNNNNNNNNNNNNNNNNNNNNNNNNNNNNNNNNNNNNNNNNNNNNNNNNNNNNNNNNNNNNNNNNNNNNNNNNNNNNNNNNNNNNNNNNNNNNNNNNNNNNNNNNNNNNNNNNNNNNNNNNNNNNNNNNNNNNNNNNNNNNNNNNNNNNNNNNNNNNNNNNNNNNNNNNNNNNNNNNNNNNNNNNNNNNNNNNNNNNNNNNNNNNNNNNNNNNNNNNNNNNNNNNNNNNNNNNNNNNNNNNNNNNNNNNNNNNNNNNNNNNNNNNNNNNNNNNNNNNNNNNNNNNNNNNNNNNNNNNNNNNNNNNNNNNNNNNNNNNNNNNNNNNNNNNNNNNNNNNNNNNNNNNNNNNNNNNNNNNNNNNNNNNNNNNNNNNNNNNNNNNNNNNNNNNNNNNNNNNNNNNNNNNNNNNNNNNNNNNNNNNNNNNNNNNNNNNNNNNNNNNNNNNNNNNNNNNNNNNNNNNNNNNNNNNNNNNNNNNNNNNNNNNNNNNNNNNNNNNNNNNNNNNNNNNNNNNNNNNNNNNNNNNNNNNNNNNNNNNNNNNNNNNNNNNNNNNNNNNNNNNNNNNNNNNNNNNNNNNNNNNNNNNNNNNNNNNNNNNNNNNNNNNNNNNNNNNNNNNNNNNNNNNNNNNNNNNNNNNNNNNNNNNNNNNNNNNNNNNNNNNNNNNNNNNNNNNNNNNNNNNNNNNNNNNNNNNNNNNNNNNNNNNNNNNNNNNNNNNNNNNNNNNNNNNNNNNNNNNNNNNNNNNNNNNNNNNNNNNNNNNNNNNNNNNNNNNNNNNNNNNNNNNNNNNNNNNNNNNNNNNNNNNNNNNNNNNNNNNNNNNNNNNNNNNNNNNNNNNNNNNNNNNNNNNNNNNNNNNNNNNNNNNNNNNNNNNNNNNNNNNNNNNNNNNNNNNNNNNNNNNNNNNNNNNNNNNNNNNNNNNNNNNNNNNNNNNNNNNNNNNNNNNNNNNNNNNNNNNNNNNNNNNNNNNNNNNNNNNNNNNNNNNNNNNNNNNNNNNNNNNNNNNNNNNNNNNNNNNNNNNNNNNNNNNNNNNNNNNNNNNNNNNNNNNNNNNNNNNNNNNNNNNNNNNNNNNNNNNNNNNNNNNNNNNNNNNNNNNNNNNNNNNNNNNNNNNNNNNNNNNNNNNNNNNNNNNNNNNNNNNNNNNNNNNNNNNNGACUCUCAUGUUUGUCCAUCCAUGAUCAGCAGGUCAUUUGCCUCAGGGCAUGGGGGCGAGGAGAUCCAGAAGCUCUCGGAGUUUGGAGGAGGUCGAAUAUCGAGUCGAGGUGAAGAUUGUUAGGAUUUGACAUCUCGAGAUUCAGUCCACAUUGAGCCCACAACGAGGUUCGCGAUGAAAAAUGGAGUCCAACGAGACCAAGAUCGUCCCAAACGGAGCUCGGACGGAGAAGAUACGAGCUUUUGAAGUCGGCAUAAGAUCUGAGGCGGCGGAGGACCGCCGGCGGUCGGUCGGCGGAGCGGCGGCGGCGCGAGGUCCAAGUGGGGCCAACACACGGGAUGCGGGACCCAGGCGCGUGGCCCGGCGGGCGGGCGGCCCAGCUCGUCGCAUGGGUGCGGGCCGGCCCAGGCCCAGGCACCCUGCCUGGGCUCUGUACCCCGAUCCACUGUGGAUCGGGUGGUCCAUGGCGGACCGUGUGGACCGCGUGGGUGUUUUCCAAGCAUUUCUCGCGGUCCACGAUACUAUUUCGUGGAUCGGAGUAUGAUCGGAGGGCCCAGGGAUGUUCCGGUCUUGAUCCGACGGUCUGGGAUUUGAUUUGGGUUGAUUAAGAGCUCCUAAACCUAAUCUAAGUCAUGUUUAACCCUUUUAAAAGAGUCUGUGACGCAAAGAAAAAUGGUGGUCUGGUUUUUUAGCUUAGGAAGCCGCAAACACCGUACGGAGGAACCCGAGAGAAGAGCGAGAGGCGUGAGGCCGCCGUGAGAGAAGGAACAGGACUUCUGGACAGCGGACGCCAGUCACUUCAGGGGUUCAGGGGGUCUUCCAAGAGAGAGAGAGCUUUUGAGAGGGGAACUUCUAGAGAGAGAGAAUUGGGUGUACAAAGGUUGAGGGUGAGGNNNNNNNNNNNNNNNNNNNNNNNNNNNNNNNNNNNNNNNNNNNNNNNNNNNNNNNNNNNNNNNNNNNNNNNNNNUCUCCUCUCGUAAAAUUUUUUUUUCAUAGUGAAGUUUGCAUGCCCCGUGGAGGCGAGCAUUUUUGUGGCUGAUCCACAUAUUUUAAUUAUUUUGUUUUGUUUCUUCUUUCUUUCUACUGCAUCGCGUGGUAGUGAAAAGAUCUUGAGAGGUGGUGUCCUGAUCAGAUAUCCAUCCAACAAUACUUAUAUUAGAAUUAUGUGAUUGUCUAUUUACACCAAAAAAAAGAAAAAGAGAUUGCUAAGAUAUUUUAAGAUAGCAGGCCAAUUCAACCAAUGGUCUUCCUGGCUAUACUAUGGAUGGCUCUACUGGUUUCCAGGAUAUAAAAGUUAAAUUGGUGGUGGAAAUUCUAUCCGAUGGUGUAAGAUAAAAGAGCAACAAAUGGAGGUGAAAUUUCACUGAAGGAAUAGCUGCCCUAGUUUAGUCAAGUUGAAAUCAGUGCACAAGCCGCUUUGCUAGCUAGGAAACUAGUCUAACCGGAAGAACUAGGUGAGAAAUGGAUGAUCAUAACCUUUGAACCAGAUCGUAACAAGUCUGUAAGCAACAUGCUCUCAAUGUGACAGAUAUGGGAUGAUAAGAUUCAUUUGAACACUUCAAGAGCAUAUCAUUCGUCUGGUUAUUCUCCAGUACAUCUUUUUUGGAGGAGAGGGAGGGAAGACCCACCUAGUGGAAUUAGCCAUGUCGAAAAAGAAAACACCUUCAAAGUUACAAUCCUGGACCUGGUCCAUGUGACAAGCGUCACCACUGGGCCACUUGCCCAGUUUCUGUUAGGAUUCAGUGAAGAAUUGUUGAAGGAAUUUUGCACGCCAAAGGUGUUGAAUGAUUACAAGAAUGUGUAGAAAAUAUAGACGCAUGACAGCAUAUAUUAUAUGACCACUAGGAGAAACCCUAUUGCUACCACGGCAUCGCAUCCUUUAAUGGGACCUUCAUAAUUACGCAUGAAUGAAGCCACUUAACGUUCGAGGUCCGCUUUGUGGGUCUGAAUAGGGAUGACAAAAUUAAUCCGAUCCGAUAGGUAUACACUCUAUCUGAAUCCGAUCAAAUCCGAAAAAUAGGAUUUGACUGGGUUUGAGUAAAACCCGAAAACUAUAGUACGGGUAUGGGUAGUGCUAUUUUCUAUCCGAACCCGAUCCGAACCUAUGGGUAUGGAUAAUACCAGAACCCAUAUCCGAAUAUAUAUAUAUAUAUAUAUACACACACACACACACACAUAUACACAUAUACAUAUACACAUAUACACAUAUAUACAUAUACAUAUACACAUAUACAUAUACAUAUAUAUAUAUACAUAUAUACAUACAUAUAUACAUAUAUACAUACAUAUAUANNNNNNNNNNNNNNNNNNNNNNNNNNNNNNNNNNNNNNNNNNNNNNNNNNNNNNNNNNNNNNNNNNNNNNNNNNNNNNNNNNNNNNNNNNNNNNNNNNNNNNNNNNNNNNNNNNNNNNNNNNNNNNNNNNNNNNNNNNNNNNNNNNNNNNNNNNNNNNNNNNNNNNNNNNNNNNNNNNNNNNNNNNNNNNNNNNNNNNNNNNNNNNNNNNNNNNNNNNNNNNNNNNNNNNNNNNNNNNNNNNNNNNNNNNNNNNNNNNNNNNNNNNNNNNNNNNNNNNNNNNNNNNNNNNNNNNNNNNNNNNNNNNNNNNNNNNNNNNNNNNNNNNNNNNNNNNNNNNNNNNNNNNNNNNNNNNNNNNNNNNNNNNNNNNNNNNNNNNNNNNNNNNNNNNNNNNNNNNNNNNNNNNNNNNNNNNNNNNNNNNNNNNNNNNNNNNNNNNNNNNNNNNNNNNNNNNNNNNNNNNNNNNNNNNNNNNNNNNNNNNNNNNNNNNNNNNNNNNNNNNNNNNNNNNNNNNNNNNNNNNNNNNNNNNNNNNNNNNNNNNNNNNNNNNNNNNNNNNNNNNNNNNNNNNNNNNNNNNNNNNNNNNNNNNNNNNNNNNNNNNNNNNNNNNNNNNNNNNNNNNNNNNNNNNNNNNNNNNNNNNNNNNNNNNNNNNNNNNNNNNNNNNNNNNNNNNNNNNNNNNNNNNNNNNNNNNNNNNNNNNNNNNNNNNNNNNNNNNNNNNNNNNNNNNNNNNNNNNNNNNNNNNNNNNNNNNNNNNNNNNNNNNNNNNNNNNNNNNNNNNNNNNNNNNNNNNNNNNNNNNNNNNNNNNNNNNNNNNNNNNNNNNNNNNNNNNNNNNNNNNNNNNNNNNNNNNNNNNNNNNNNNNNNNNNNNNNNNNNNNNNNNNNNNNNNNNNNNNNNNNNNNNNNNNNNNNNNNNNNNNNNNNNNNNNNNNNNNNNNNNNNNNNNNNNNNNNNNNNNNNNNNNNNNNNNNNNNNNNNNNNNNNNNNNNNNNNNNNNNNNNNNNNNNNNNNNNNNNNNNNNNNNNNNNNNNNNNNNNNNNNNNNNNNNNNNNNNNNNNNNNNNNNNNNNNNNNNNNNNNNNNNNNNNNNNNNNNNNNNNNNNNNNNNNNNNNNNNNNNNNNAUAUGGGGAAAUGGGUUACCCACGGGUAUCCCCGAACUCGUUGGAUAUGGAGAUGGGUAUCUCUUUUCUUAUCCGAUUGGGUAUCAGAUAGGGUUUGGGUAUAGGGUAUUAAGUUCGGAUUUGAAAAUGGGUAGUAUACUAUCCGACUCAAAUCCUACCCAUUGCCAUCCCUGGGUCUGAACAUUUAUUAGUGACCAGUGGAAAAUGUCACCAAAGUUCUUGUGGAUGGUCAAUCUGCUGCACAUUUCUUUUCCUUAUAAAUAUAUGUGGUGCUCAUUAAAUGGCCGGAGAAUUCGCUGAACUGUGGGGAAGGAAAUAAAUAUAGUGGUUAAUUUGGCAUCUAUUUUGAGAAAAGCCUCAUAAUUUGAAAUAUUGGCAUGUUGCAUUUCAUAUGAGUUGGUUCUCUUUGUCUGAAAAUUUAGAAUUAUCUUUAAAAUUUUCCUCCAAAAAACAUUAGCAUAUCCCAAAUUGAUUACACCCCAAUUUUGUUUAAAAUUUUCUAUGGAGCCACGUCCUAACCACCAGUAAUCGCUUCAGUCGUGUGUGGUGGGGGAUAUUAGCAUUACUUGACAUGGAACGAAGGGAAGAAGCAACAACCAUCUAAUCAUCUUGCCUUCUCAUAAUCCUUAAAACGAUUGGUUCUGUAAUAGGCUAGGGUGUCACCUAAAAUGACUAAUCAGAAGGUAUUAUUUGAUUUUCUCAAUUUUAUAUAAAUAUCUAAAAUCUACCCAAUGUAUAGCCAUAUGAGUCCUCAUAUAUUCUUCUUAUUUAAGUUCUGAUAUUUUCAUCAGAUUAAAGAUCUAAAUUCAAUUAUAACUAUCAUGAUCAGCUCGUAUCUUAUCCAAAAAGACUAUCUAAAAGAUAUUAUUUGAAUUCUUGUAUAAAUAUCAAAGUUUUAUCCAAUGCAUAACCAAUUUGGAACUAAACACAUACUCGCACGAGUUUUCAUAGGUUCUAACUCUUGCUACUCAUAAAAUAAAAGGGAAAAAGAUAAAUGGUAGCUUUGACUCUCAAAUAUGUUAAACUUAUGAAUUGUUGAAGAUUAAUUGAUAUUAUUAUGUGUUAACAUUUAUACAAUAGGAAGAAUAGUUUAAUAUGCCCUACAUUUGUGAAUUAGAAGGUGAUGAUCCAUAAUGUUGUGAGCACUUAAGAAAAAUAUGUUUGCAAAACAUGACUUAAAAAAGUAUGAACAUAAAAAUGUUGAGAUUGAUAGUGUAACAACUCAAAAUCUCAUCCAAAAAGACUAGGCAGAAAAUAUUAUUUGGUUCCUUAGCUCUACAUAAGUUACCAAGAUAUUUUCAGUGAAUAACCGAUGUGGAACUAAAUAUAUCUUCACAUAUUCUUCGGUUUAAGUCCUAAUAUUUUUGUCAAAUUAAAGAUCCAAAUUCAUGCAAAUCCAUUCAUAAACACCGUGAUCAACUGAUGGUCAACAUCAAUGAAUCCGUAUUGCAAUGUCCUCUAGUCCACAUGAACGGUGGACUAAGUUGGCUUUGAUACCAUUUGUAAUGAUUUAGGAUCUUAUUUAAAAAAGAGCUAGUUGGAAAGUAUUACUUGAGUUUUUUGACUUUGUAUAAAUAUCUAAGAUCAAAUGUAUAUUUAAUUUCAUAUUAAUUAUUCACUGGGAAGAUCUUGGAUACUUAUACAGCAUCAAUAAGUUUAAAUAAUACUUUCCGACUAAUUUUUUUUGGAUAAGAUCUUGGAUUGUUAUUGUUGCGGCCAAUCCCCUCGUCGCCUGGUCGUCAGAAACGAGCGCCUGCAAAAGAAAGUCCACACUGACCGGAGGUGGCUCCGGUAGGGACCCUCCGACGGUCAGGUCAGAGAGGAGACUAGGCAACAGCGAAAGAAAAACAAGGAGCUCAACGAGAGAGGGAAAGAGAGAGAGAGAGGGAGCAAGCCCAAGAGUUCUCGAAGGGAUCUCUAGCACUGUUGCCUUCCCCGGUAUAUAUAGUGGAGCAUGGUAUGGCGCCGUCAUUAAUGGCGCGGACAAUUGAAGAAUUGUCAAUUCACUGAAGAUUGUCAGAGUCACCGUAAAGGUGUCAAAUCACCGUGGGGCUGUCAAAUCGCUAGGGUUGACCAUGCCUUAGGUGGGAUAAUGCCCCUAGGCGGCAGUGCCG